rnacentral:lncRNA from 1 species
GGCCCUGUUUGGGGGAGCUGUUGGCGGUAGAGCUGUUGGAAGUAGAGCUGUUGGAAGUAGAGCUGUCUGAAGUAGAGCUGUUAUAAAAAGUUGUUUGCUGUUUGGUAACUACAUUCGUAAAGUGCUGUGGUACUUUGUUUUGUGUUUGGUAAACAAACUGAGAAAGUACUUUUGUAUGACAAAAUUACCAUAAAGGACAUUGCAUAGUAUUAUACAACAGAACAUAAUAAAACAUAACAUAAAUUAAUAUAUAAAUAUACGAUAUAGUAUAAUAUUACUGUAAUAUAAAAUAAUAUUAUGUUAAUAUAGCAUAAUAGUAAUAUAAUUAUUAGAGUAAAUUAAUAUUUGGUAAUAUAGCAUAAUAUUAAAUUAUUUAACAUAACAUAUUAAUGUAUUAUGAUAUAAUGUAAUAUAUAUUAUAUUUAUAGUAUAAUACAACAAUAAAAGUAUAAAAUAUUAUAAUUAUUAGUAAAUUAAUUUCUUAUAAUAUAACAUAAUAUUAAAUUAUUUAAAAUAACAUAUUAAUGUAUUAUAAUGUAAUGUAAUAUAAUACAAUAUUUAUAAUAUAAUACAAUAAUAAAGGUAUAAAAUAUUAUAAUUAUUAUUAUAAAUUAAUUUUCCAUAAUAUAACAUAAUAUUAAAUUAUUUAAAAUAACAUAUUAAUGUAUUAUAAUGUAAUGUAAUAUAAUACAAUAUUUAUAGUAUAAUAUAAUAAUAAAGGUAUAAAAUAUUAUAAUUAUUAUUAUAAAUUAAUUUUUCAUAAUAUAACAUAAUAUUAAAUUAUUUAACAUAACAUAUUAAUGUAUUAUGAUAUAAUAUAAUAUGAUAUUAUAUUUAUAGUAUAAUAUAAAAAUAAAGAUAUAAAAUAUUAUAAUUAUUAGUAUAAAAUAAUUUUCCAUAAUAAUUUUUUAUAAUUUUUCAUAAAAUAAUUUUCCGCGGUCCAGGGGCUCUUCUUCGUAGUCCACGCUCGAGGAGGACCUCAGCGUGGGCCGCGAGGUUGAUGAUAAAAAAAAAAACAAUAGAUUGAUUUUGGAAGGUAUGGAAAAAGAUUAAAAUUUUUUUCUUCUAAAAUGUGGUUCAAGAGAUGCAUACAAAAAUUGAAAAGAAAAAUACCUUUUCUUACGGAAGGAAGUCUGACGGCUAGGGUUCUUGGCUCCAGUAGAUUUUUAGGUUUAUAAAGGGACAAACUAUGUAUUUAUGUUAUUUUAAUAUGGGCAUUUUUGUCAAAAAUACAGCUUUCCGAAAAAGCUGAAACAGCUUCCUCCCAAAAGCUCCAAAUUGGAGCUUCCUCCCAAAAGCUGUUUUCAGCUUCCUGCAAAAGCUGAAACAGCUUUUUGCAAAAUUUACCAAACACAGUUUUUUAUCUAAAAGUACUUUUGGAGGGCCAGAAAGUGCUUUCUGGCCCUCCAAAAGCUCUCCCAAACAGGGCCUAAGUCCCUGAACAUUUUUUUAUAAAAACUUGUGAUUAAUAAUCCCACAUAAUAUAUAUUAGAAUAAUCUUAAGAGGUCCUUAAAUUAUGUCAAAGGACCUGGAAAGAUAUGUGUAAACACCAACUUUAACAGGGAAGGGAUUUACAAGAAAUAAUUCAGAAAGUUUGAGGUUGUGUCAGAGGUUUUAGUUGAUACGCUGAUUGGCAAAUAAGGAUAAACAAAACUGACGUCAAAUUGUCGGGACAAGAGUUGAUGGUUAUAAUUGUGGAUUCUCUCCAACAACUUACCGUUGAAUGAUGCAACUUUCUCACUCCAAGGUCUAUGUUCUUUGGAAUCCUUUUGUCUCAUUUCUUGGGACUUAACAUAUUAUAGACAACUGCACUAGUUAUCAUGUCAACAAAUAUCUCAUUGUAUGACUGUAUUAUGUUACUCCUUGUUGUAACAAAAAUUACCUAUUUAUGAUAAGUUGGAACCACUUUUAGUGUCAUCAAAUUCACUAAUGCACCACCACAAAGUCAACAAUCACAACUCUCAUCAUGUUACCAUUUCCAAUCUAUUAUUUGCUAACAUGAUAUCUCAAAUUCUCCACUAUUUUGCAUAAAUGGCAAUAUAUUGUUCCAUAAAUAUAAAUGUUACUAUCUUCUAGAGUUCCUGACAUUCAUCUAGUCCUUACAUUGCAUCUAGAGUCUUAGCUAUAAUCCCAUUUUAUUGCCUAAGCAAUAAAACCAUUUGUCACCACCUUUUGUAAUAUUUGAAUUGCUUUACAUACAGUUCCUAAGAAUAAAAGAACAUACAACUCUCAUAAGGAAGACAAUUUGAUGCAGCACAAGGUGCAACCAACAAGUACUUUGAUCAGCUAGAUCAUACCAAACUUCUCAGGAGCAACAGAUUCAUAGGCGAAGAUUUUGCACGAGCUAAAAGUUUGUGACCGAGCCUCUUAUAAAUUUUCAAUUACAGAAGGAGUCAAAUUUUAGCUAGAUUUUUAUAUUUGUAGUUGAAUAAUUCUAGCAUAUUUUCUUAUUACUAAGUCCUAUUUCUAGUAUAGUUUUGUACUAGGUUGAAGUCCCAAAUUAGGAUUAAGGGUCAUGUCCUAUAUAUGCUUCUACUACAUUGUAUGAUGGUAGCUUUUGACAUAUUAAUAAAAGAAAUUCUUGGAGAGAACUUCCUUCAUGAAACGAAGGGUUCUUCAAUCCAGUUUUCCUUCAAUUUAUAUGUAUAAUCUCCAAAGUGUAAUUCCUGGCGAUCCAAUAGCUCUUCACUCCUCAUGCAACAUCACUUCCUAAUAUCCACAAAAAAAUUAAGGGCAAACCUGUUGAUGUUUAAAUCAACAAUAGUUAGUAAAAGAGUUUACAGUAAUGCUGUGAAUUAAAUAGUGUUGGAAGACCUCAGUAACAUUAUCGAGCCCAUAUAUUCAAGCCCCUGUCUCAUGUCUCGGAUAACCCUCAACCUCUCAUCUUAAAUUCUUUGGAAAAAAAGAAUGAAUUCAAUUAAGAUGGUGUUUUAACACAAUCCCUACAUGCAAUUCUUGGUUCACUUGUUGCAAUCCAGAAGGUUAAAGAUAAGCAUUAUGAUAUGUGUUCGCUUGGCAAUUUAUCUUUGCAAGGCUUUGACAUACUGGAGAUUCCAGUUCACUCAUAUAAACACAUCAUUCCUAGGAAAAGUUCAGUCCUGUCUCCUUUACCACUUCCACGUGUUACAAGCUUACCUGCCCCCAAAUCAUACAUCUAGCCUCCUUUUAUCACCCAUUCAUCACGUUCUUCUUGCUAACCACUAACAAAAACUAUGGUUAAACUAUACAAAUUCAAAGGCCCGAACAAAUCCAAAAAAAAACCAACUUUACAUCAUAUAAAACAAAACCCAUUAGACCGCGAUUCUUGAUAAACCCAUCACCGAAUUCAUCAAGAAACCCAGAACUCAUGAAUCAAAAGAAAGAAAGGUUGGGAAGGGGCAAGCACCUGGACUCCGCCUUCGCCGGGACCGCAAGGAAUGAGGACGGGCCCUAUGCUAGGCCUCUCGACUGUGAGGGGGACCUGGACCCUGAACCCUUUGGCUCGGCCGCGCGGCAAGCUCUUCCCCGUCCGCUUAUUCUCCUCCUCCUCCUCGCCGCCGUCGCCGCCGGCGGCAACGGCGGCGGCGGCGGCGGCGGCGGCCCCGUUUGCUUCGUCCCUCGCGAGGCCAAGAAAACCGGCGAUCCUCCGGAAGAACCCCAUUCUCGAUCAAGAACCACUCGACGAGGAGAUUUAUGGUUUGGGAAGGGGUGGGGGGGUCCGAGAGGGGUGGUGGGUGGGGCUUUUUAUCUUGGGGUUUUAACCGCGAUGGAAGAAGGUAAAAGAGACUGUAGUUUUUUUCAUAAAAAACAGACGUGUAGAUCGGAAUUUCUGAAGGAUCGCGGUCGUAUGCUUCGGGCGAAAAAAUUCACCUUCCUUCGCGCCGAUCCACCGUUGGAUCAGUCACUGCAUAGAUCUCCAAGCGCUCCGAACUCUUAUCAUUCAUCCACCGGCACAGCUCUCAAAGCGAGGAAGGCGCGCAAAGGAUCCAACAGCGAUACAUUCCUGAAUUGCCCCUUUGGUUGUGAAUACCAAAUUCUUGGAGAUCCACGUGGCGGUUGCUUGAUUGCUUCCACGGAUCGCCAAAGCGCGUAACGUAUCAUACCAGCAGUGAACCAAGAUUUUGGUACAACAUGCCAAGUCGACCCUUAUACCACACAUAUCAAUAUUAUACCAAUAAAUAUCUUACGGAAUCCGGCACUCCGACACGAGUAAUGCUUGUCGUUAGAUUUGUAUAUUUAGUUACGGUUAAUCUGAAGAGGAAGAGGAUGAUGCCAAUCUUUAAAGCCUUGUCAAAGUUUUUAAAAGAAAGUGCCCUAAUCACUAAGGAGCGAUUUGCCAGGAGAGUGUUUAGCUAUGGUUGCUUGAUGGGUAUCUUCUAUAGUUGUAUCCAUCUUUUAUUAAUUUCAUAGCUUUUUUUAAAAAAGAGAGGGAGAGAGAAUAGGAGGGCAAUACACCAAAUCAUAUUGCAUAAUUUUUCCUUUUUUAUGUCAUGAUUUGAUAAUGUGUCAAGUUUGACAGGUAACUAUAGAUAUUAUCAGUUGAAUAAUCUUAUUAGUUGAAUAAUCACGUGCAUUGCUAAUUAUAUGUGGUUGAAAAGGAGGUAAAGAAUGGUAACCUUGAUAAUGCUAAAUUUGAAGUUUGGAGACUAGAUAAAAUAUUUGGACUUAUUUUUUCUAUUCUUUUAUAUUCUCUAAUGCCAUGCUUAUUUUGAUAGUUUGUAGUACCCAACAACACUAAGCAUAUUGACUCAUACUGAUAAGAAAUCAAUGCUUGGUACGUUUCUCGCAUAAAUGUAGUUACCAAGUAUAGUUUUUAUGAGCUGAACCAUGAACCUUAGUUAUUUCAAAGAUAAAAUAGAAUAAAGCAAAGUUUGUUUUUGAUGCUUCAAUUAUUAGAUAAGUUUUAUAUAUUUGUUAAAAAGCUAAAUAUAUUCUUUGGUCCCCUCGGUAAUGUUGGAGGAGGAUUUUUUAUCAUUUUGAAAUUAAUCAACUAUGGGUGAGAUAGGUAUAACAUGAAAAUACCAUGGUUAUGCUGGUAUGGGAUAAGUGUUAUUGAGAAGAUAGUUGACAUUAGCUAGUUUCUAAUUUUGUUAUAUUAUCACUACUUUUUACCAUAUUCUUAUGUGCGCUUUUUCUACAUAGACCUUAGACCAAGAUGGUCCGAUUUUCUUGAUCACUUUGUUAGAUUAUUCCAUACUUUACUUUCAGUUUUUAAUUUUUAAUCUCUAACUUUUUUUGGAAAGAAAAUAUUAUUGUAUAAGUUUUUCAAAUUAAUGACCAACUGAAUUUAAAGUGUAAUUAAGAUUCCUCCAUAAGGAAGUCAAUUAAUUUGUUGGAAAAGAAUAAAACUCAAAAUUACAAAUAGUUUCAAGCAACUCAACCAAGUAUCUAACACGAAGCUCACUCUUUUGCCGGUAUCGCUUGGUAGAAGAGCCACUUGAAAAAUAAUGAGGAAGCCAAAAUUCAAAAACUCCAUGCUUUUAUAACCGCAUAGGCAUAAGAAUUAUGGAUAAUUGUUAUAACAAGCUUAACAUAAUAAUUAUUGAGAAAUGAGGCAGGAGUCUCCUAUUUUCUUACCUUCCAUCAAGUUUUAUUUUUAAAAAAUAUAUUUUGCCUUUACGUUAACUAAAUUCAUUUUUUCUUCUUUUAACAAGAAAGAAUGAAAUUUAUGACACGCUUUACAAUUUUCAUGUUUGUUGAAACAUUAAUGUCAGAGCCGCAUAUUGAAUUAAUAUUGUAUAUUCUAUAUUUUAUAAUACGGUUAAUCAACAUGUUAACUAACCGAUAACAAUAAGUUGGAUUUUUUUUUUCUUGCAGUAUUUCGAUGUGCCAUAAGCAUGAAAGUGGUUCAAGAAAUUUUUUUUUUUAUAAGGGCUAAAAAUAAAUCAUUUAUUUUGACUUUUGACCCAUGUUGGGUGGAUCAAACUGGCGUUUCCCUGGAGGAACCAUGUGAUUCUUACCUUCAUAUUGGAAAUUUCGUGCGUGAAAAAAAGAAAGGCUAGCGAGGGGAACGCCGGAAGAAGACUUCCGCGCUCCGACCGACUUCCAGCGCUCCGACCGACCUCCCGCCUCCCCCAACGCCACAAGACUCAAUCCUUCUCUCUCCAGCUUGCGUCGCAAAAACGCUAGCUCAAUCUUUGAAACCCUAGAUCCGAGAUCUCGUUUUCUCGUAACCAGAGAAGGGGAAGACUGCCAUCCCUUUGCCCCCCCGCCCCCCUCUCUUUGGAGGUAGGGCUAUCUAAUCGCCGUGAUCUGGGGUUAAUUUGGCCUAGGAAGAGAUGCCUGUGGCGGCGUCUGCCAUAUACUUCCUCAAUCUUCGUGGGGAUGUUCUCAUCAACCGCCUCUACCGCGAUGACGUCGGGUGAGAACACUUCCUGCGGACUAGGGUUUACGGAAUCUAAGUUUUGUUUGAUUUCUCGGUGUAAUAACGAAAUUUGGGCGUUACGAUAUGUUUUCUACAUUCAAAUCAUGUUUUUCUUUUGCAAGAAUGCUGAGUGAUCUGCUGAACUACUUGUGCCACGAAUAAGAAUUUUUAAAUAUCAAAUUUGUUGGUUCUAAGCCACACUUUGCUUUUGAUGAACUACAAUUGAAUAGCUGAUCUCUUCACAUGAUAUCCUUUUAUAAUUAAAUUACCACAUAUUACUGGCUCGUCAUUGUGAUCAUAUUCGCACAAUAAAAAAAUCUGAUUAGUUGAUGUACACUGCAUGUUGUUUUUACCAUGUCUUGAAUUUAUAGAAUGAUGCUCUUGAAUUUUCAUUAGCAUUAAUGGAAAUAAUUUAUUCAUCUCCUAAUUUUAUAAUUUCAGUUAAGACUUUGGUCGGAAGUUGAAUUUGGUAUGGUGUCUCUUGCAAAGAAGCCUUUGUGUAGAGGGACUGAAGAGGUGUCUCUUUGUCCACCUAAUCCAACUUGCAUUUGUUUCAAGAUUUGAUGAUGAGGAAGCAAUAGGAGAAUGGACUUUGGUUUACUUCUUGUAAAUCUAUACUCCAAGAUAAUGAAUCAUGACAGUGGUAGGAGUAUAGAGAUAGGAUGCCUUGAAUUUGCCACAUUUCUCGAUUUCUGUUCUAUCAUUAAUGUUCUUAAAUUUUUGAGUUUAAUUUGCAAACAAUUUGACUCCUCCGACUUAGUUCAUUUUAUGCACUUUGGUCUAUCAUUUGUACAUGCAGUAUAUAUCUUAAAGACCUGCAUUAACAAUCAUCUGUAUUCUUCUUCCAUCAUUUCUUGCCGGUGGAGAUCCAAAAAAACUGUAUCAUAAUGUAUCACAGUCACCCAGGCUGCUUGUUUUCUUGUAAUGACAUGCAUGCUUUCUCUAAAAUUGUGGCAUAUCCAGUGGCAAUAUGGUGGAUGCAUUCCGAAUGCAUAUAAUGCAGACAAAAGAACUUGGUACUUGUCCUGUCCGGCAAAUUGGAGGUUGUUCUUUCCUUUACAUGAGAAUCAGCAACGUGUACAUUGUGAUUGUUGUUAGCGGCAAUGCCAAUGUUGCUUGCGCUUUCAAGUUCGUCGUUGAGGUAUGCGUUAUCUAGUAUCUGUUUUCAAUUUCAAACUGCUGCUACUCCUGUCCUCCUCUAUCUGUUUAUAUGAUUAGUCGCAUGCAUGCGUGCUUGCCCCAAUGUAGUGCCAUUAGCAAGUGUAGCUAAAAGGGUAUCAGCUUAAAUUUCUAACUUUUGCUAUCUUAAAUUAAUCAAACCCCCUUCCCCGCACCCCUCCACCCCCAGCCCGCGCGCGCCGCAAAAAAAUAAAAAAGAAAGAAACGUAGACUCAGGCACACAAACUCACAGACAGAUACACAUAUUAUAUUUGAUGGCAUUAGCAUGCUUAGAUUUUACAUAGUAAGUUCCAUUCAAAUUUCUACUUGCAAGACCAUUAUAUUAGUGACCAGCUUUUUAUGUGUUGCUCUCCUUAUGGUUAACUUUUACCAGUGUGUUUUUUCAAGGAUAAGGACAGAGAGUUCUCUGGAGCAUCACGGCAAGUGUUCUGGAUGAGAGAGAGUUGCCAUGGAUCAUGUUUAUCUGUGUGAAAGAAUUUUACAAUCUUUUCCUUUUGAUAAUGAAUUUAAAACGUUUCAAUUCUUGUUAUAAACUUCACAUGGAUCGCAGGCAGUAAGGUUGGGACAGCUAAUACUUAGAUGCGACUUCUAGAAUAUUAAUAAAUAACAUGUUUGUUUAAGAUCAGAAAGAAAUCAAAGAUGAUUAAGGGAGUACAGGAUUGGAUGCGUUGGGGUGAAGGGAAGGAAUUACCUAUUCUUUUACAUGGCUUUAGAAAAUUAAGUCAGAAUUGGGAGUAUUUGCAAUGGAUGCUUAUCAGUUGAAAUAUGAAAAGGAAUUAAUGGGAGGGAAUGUACGAAAGGAAGGAAUUGCCUGACCCAGAGGUGUUUUUCUGUUGGAUCAAUCAAGGCCUGCGAGACAACUCUAGUGGAAAAGUUUCGAAGACUUUGGAUGGUUUCCUAAUAUGAGAAUAUCACAAUAUUAUAUGAUAUAUUUGUCAACUAUAUGCAAUGAGAAAUCUCAAGAAAAUUUUAUCCCAUCAUUUGUCCGUUGUGUGCAAGAAAUGUGGUGCCAAUAGGCCCUUCUUUUGCAUCAUAGGAAAAUCUUGAAGAUUUUAAAGCACUCACACAAAGGACACAUUUUUAGUUUUCUUCAUCAAUGGUACGAAAGCUAUCAUGUUUUGGAAUCUUGGUUGGAGUUCUAGCAUCUUCUACAAUGAAGUACCUCCUUUAGACUGAGCAAGUUAUAUGAAUGCUUCGAAGCUUGUGGGGAACAAGGGUUAAUGCUGCGGAAGUUAAGACUUUUCUUGUAUGUGCAGUCAUACUUAACAGAGUGAUAGAAGGGGGAUCCCACAAACACCAUCAAGUAGGCUUUCUAGGGUGUCACACCAUGGAAACUGGCAUUUUAUUUUUACAAAGGAAGUUGCAUUUUAUGAGAGGUUGUUGUAAGUUGCAAAUUGACUAGUGUCAUGAUAUGCUAAUGUAUUGUUAGGAGCGGAUGAGAAUGGUUGUGUCUGAAUUGGCCUAUAAUCUAUGUCAAUGAUUGAGUACUGUGUAGUCUAUAAUAUGUGUGAAUGGAGUACUAUGUGGCCCACUCAUGUUAGUUAUGAGAUACCAUGGUAUGGGAACAUGCCAUGUCAUGCUUACCAUGUGCCCAGCUAGUUGUCUAGGCUCAUGACAAUGUAAAAGGGCCUUGUGUUAGGCCACAUUGAUUCAUUUUGGAAUGUGCCAGAUGGCAUUUACCAACAUGGUUAAAUAUUGGUAUACAUAGCAAAGUUUCAAGUAUAGGUUUUAGUACUCAUAUUCGUAUGCAACCAGUACACCCUUUAUUGAGUGUCAGUAUGACACAUCCCUUGAUAUGACACUCCGUAGGGAAGGGUAGUACCAGUUUCUACCUGUACAGCAUGAAUAUACCUGGUAUGGACCAGUAUAGUCUGAUAUUUCAAUCCUUUCUACACAAGACAAUUUUGCAGUCCCUUGUAUCCUGCUUGUACCUGGUUGGGGUGGUGCACACCAUGUGAUAAAGAUUGGUAUACCUGCGUUGAAAUUCUUGGUCUAUAUUGCCUCAGUCUUCUUUGCAUGUAUUGUUAUUUAUCCAUUAUCAGUCAACAUUCUACUUACCACGUUCAAGAAACAGUGAAUAUCAUGCCACUUAAAUUUAUCUGAAUAUGCUUAACAAUACUUCCUGAAUAAUUGGAAUUUUUUGCUUAUGACCAUAACAUGAUUGUCUGUUUGUUGUUACUUCAUUCUACUACUAGAGAAGUAGGAUCCUAAAAGUUCUUACUACUGCUACAUUUGCAUGUACAAAUGUACGUAGAUGCAACAAGUAAGAAAUUCUACAAAUAUAUAUUGGAAGACAAGUAUUUAUGCAUUCUUGAUUUGAUCAGCUCAUAACUUAUCGUAAAACUGUUUUGUUUCCUAUUUUAGAAGAAUUGAGGGAAAAAUCUGUUCUUUCAGUGAAAAGAGAACCUAGUGGAAACCAUGAUCUUAAUGAUUCCUUUAUGUGGCAUGAUAGCAUGGCUUGAAACAGUUAUGAGCUGUUGAACUAUACUACAUAUGCAGCUGCGAACAGAAUUGGGCAAAAAUUUGCUUAUGUUAGUUUCCUAAUAAUAUUGUUUCAUUAGCAAUAAGCUUUUUUGACUUAUGACAGGCUGUUGCAUUGUUUAAGUCUUAUUUUGGUGGGGCAUUUGAUGAAGAUGCCAUCAGGAAUAAUUUUGUUCUGAUCUAUGAGCUUCUUGAUGGUAUGCAUCCGAAUCAUGUUAUUCUCUAUGCUGUCAUGGUUUCAUCCUCUUAUCUUCUGUUAGCUAUACUGUUAUAUGUUAUUGAAUUUUAGGCGAUCUAGUUGAAGAUAAAUGUAUGAUUUAACCAAUUAUUAGGGGAGAACUUCUUGUCAUUUUUUUGGGUUGAACUCAUGAUUCCAUGUGAAAGAGAAGAUGUAUUAACACUUUUUUGUCACAACUGUGAUGCACAUUAGGUGACUAUAGUUUUUCUGCAUGUAUUUCCUGUGCCAGUCAGGUAAUUGGGCUUCCUAAUUGACAGCUAACUACUGUCGUUUAUUGAUCCACAUAGUAGAUCAGUGUGUUAACAUGUUGUCAUCAUCAUUUUAUGAAAUGCGUUAUGAUUUGAUAAGGGUCCAUGUAAUGCUUUAAUAUCUUGCACCGUCUGUGUGAUCAAACACAUAUCUUCAUCCUUAUGUGUCCUUAUCCGUUUGUUGCUAAAAAGAUUUCAUGAGUUUAUGAUCUUUGUGUGACGCAGUCUUCUUAAAUGCAUGGAAAUAACUAUAUUGCUGCUGAACAUGUUACUAUGUUUAAGGAGGACUCCNNNNNNNNNNNNNNNNNNNNNNNNNNNNNNNNNNNNNNNNNNNNNNNNNNNNNNNNNNNNNNNNNNNNNNNNNNNNNNNNNNNNNNNNNNNNNNNNNNNNNNNNNNNNNNNNNNNNNNNNNNNNNNNNNNNNNNNNNNNNNNNNNNNNNNNNNNNNNNNNNNNNNUUAUUAAAGUUGGGACCUGUCAACUUGUCAUUAUCCAAUAAUGAGCGAAGUGACAAAUUAGUGGUCAUUUCUAUAUAAAAGAAAAUUUGGCUAUUAGUAUAUGAAUUGACUAAACACAUUAGACUUGGACUUUAGUCUAAAGGUACUCCCACUAUUUUAUACAAAUUGGUAGCCUCUACCUCUAAUUCGAAAAAUUACUCCUAAUUUUUAGUGGGCACUAGAACCCAAUAGAUCACAUAUAGGCUCGAGUGUGGCUCGGCCAACCCAUAUGCACCUAUUGGUAGGUUCUUAACCAAUUGCUUCACCAAGCAACUUCUAGUGAUGAUUUUGCCCUAGGUUUUCCAGCAGGCGUGUGGCGCCUCCACCGAAUACCCUAGUCAGGUCCAACCAUUAAAUGAUAGGGUUAAGUCUAAUCAACUAAUAGACGACCAAGCCCGAGUGUGGCUCGGCUCACCUGACCGCCUAUUGAAGGUACACUUAACUCAUCAUAUAUUGAAUGACAAUUCCAAUGCUUGAUAAGUACCAGGCAUGUGGNNNNNNNNNNNNNNNNNNNNNNNNNNNNNNNNNNNNNNNNNNNNNNNNNNNNNNNNNNNNNNNNNNNNNNNNNNNNNNNNNNNNNNNNNNNNNNNNNNNNNNNNNNNNNNNNNNNNNNNNNNNNNNNNNNNNNNNNNNNNNNNNNNNNNNNNNNNNNNNNNNNNNNNNNNNNNNNNNNNNNNNNNNNNNNNNNNNNNNNNNNNNNNNNNNNNNNNNNNNNNNNNNNNNNNNNNNNNNNNNNNNNNNNNNNNNNNNNNNNNNNNNNNNNNNNNNNNNNNNNNNNNNNNNNNNNNNNNNNNNNNNNNNNNNNNNNNNNNNNNNNNNNNNNNNNNNNNNNNNNNNNNNNNNNNNNNNNNNNNNNNNNNNNNNNNNNNNNNNNNNNNNNNNNNNNNNNNNNNNNNNNNNNNNNNNNNNNNNNNNNNNNNNNNNNNNNNNNNNNNNNNNNNNNNNNNNNNNNNNNNNNNNNNNNNNNNNNNNNNNNNNNNNNNNNNNNNNNNNNNNNNNNNNNNNNNNNNNNNNNNNNNNNNNNNNNNNNNNNNNNNNNNNNNNNNNNNNNNNNNNNNNNNNNNNNNNNNNNNNNNNNNNNNNNNNNNNNNNNNNNNNNNNNNNNNNNNNNNNNNNNNNNNNNNNNNNNNNNNNNNNNNNNNNNNNNNNNNNNNNNNNNNNNNNNNNNNNNNNNNNNNNNNNNNNNNNNNNNNNNNNNNNNNNNNNNNNNNNNNNNNNNNNNNNNNNNNNNNNNNNNNNNNNNNNNNNNNNNNNNNNNNNNNNNNNNNNNNNNNNNNNNNNNNNNNNNNNNNNNNNNNNNNNNNNNNNNNNNNNNNNNNNNNNNNNNNNNNNNNNNNNNNNNNNNNNNNNNNNNNNNNNNNNNNNNNNNNNNNNNNNNNNNNNNNNNNNNNNNNNNNNNNNNNNNNNNNNNNNNNNNNNNNNNNNNNNNNNNNNNNNNNNNNNNNNNNNNNNNNNNNNNNNNNNNNNNNNNNNNNNNNNNNNNNNNNNNNNNNNNNNNNNNNNNNNNNNNNNNNNNNNNNNNNNNNNNNNNNNNNNNNNNNNNNNNNNNNNNNNNNNNNNNNNNNNNNNNNNNNNNAUCUUGGAUCCCCGUACUAUACCAAACAAGUUACUCAUGGAUACUCGGGGAUUUUUAAUCACUGGAUCAUGGCCUACCAAACAUAUUGAUCUUAAAUCACUGGGGAUCAAAUCACCCCAGCAUUCGAAUCACCGAGGAUCUUAGAUCACCGUGGUGAUCCUGUUGGGGUUACCAAACGCCCCUGUAAAUAUUUGUCAACAAGCCUCAACCCUAGGAAUGUCACUGGAUCGAGAAUAUCCAAAACUUUUGUGGUCUGAUCUGAAGACUUAUCCAAAACAAUGCUAAAUCAGGUCUGUUCUCAUCAUAACUCAUCCUGCUUUUGGAUGUUUUAUGUUUUUAAAUGGCAUAUUAAGGAAAUUAUAUUUGACCAAAGUUGUUUAUAAUGAGUUGAGAUUAACUGAAACACUGUAAACGAAAAAUACAUCAAAUUUUAAGAGUGCAUGUAGCCGAAGGCUCUUGAUACUUCUUUGGCUGCCCCCAUAGAACAUGAUGUUAUCGCAGUUGAGGGGUCCAUAUUGUUCCAAACUCCAAUGCAGUGGCAUGACUUGGUAGUUUGCCUUGAUUGCAUUCAACAUUUUUACUUUCAUUGUGAUAUGCACCAUCAUAGAAAGUGGUUGCUUGGUCUGCCUAGCCUUGGACUGUUACCUAGCCAUCCCUCUUAAAGGGCUGAACCUAUCAGACAACCUUUAUUUGCUGGCCACCUAUUGGGUACCUAGGCAAUCAGCCAAUGCCUGAGGUCAGGUUUGGACUUAUUUUGGGGCAGACGAGGGUAUUAGACCACUGGAUCAUAAACCUAUUUCUUUUGCAGUAGUGCCCAAACACCUUACUUGUUGGCAAGUUCCACUAAUUCUUGAUCUUUGAAUAUAUUAUUUAUUAUUUGGUAGAGUUGUUGCAUUUAAUCGCAUGAGACAUUGAGCACGCUUUAUGAAUGUUUAAUUAAUACAUUGCAUAACUUUCAGGGAAAUUUGUAAUUUUACUAAUUAACAUGUAAUAUUACAUUAAAUAAGGUUCAAGCAAAUGCAAAUUGUUUGCUGAAUAACUUUUUCCUUUAUUUCUUUGUUCCUUUCUACUUUUGGUCUUUUACUUUAACUAUCAUCCACCCAGGCAUCUGUUUUCUAUGAUCAUUAUGUGGUCAUUUGGUUGGGCACAUUCUGCAACUACCUAUUAAAAAGUUGGUAAUAUCAACUCCAUUGUAUACUUGUACUUGCUUCAUGGUUAAGGAGAUCUAGCCCAUUGAAGAUAAUUUUGAUAUGCUUAGUCUAUAAAGAAGUAACCUGCCAUUAACUCCCUUAUUAAAUAAUGCAACAAAGUUUGCUGUUUGUCUUUGCGAAUUACACAAGUAAACUGCUAGAUUGCUUCCCACAACUGAAUGACCCAAGACCAUCUGGGACAACGAAGUGUGGCAAGUUUUCAAGUAAUAAGAGGUUUCUCCCACAUUGAUCUAGAAAGAAGCUUGGUUUUAGAGCUUUAUCAUUUAUAUUAUCUGAAACUAAUUAACAUGAUGUGAUUUGAUCAACCCUAGAGUUUAUGUGCAACAUAUGUCUUCUGGGUACUAGAAUCUCAAUAAACAACUGCUUAUGUGAACAAAGACACAGCAACAUCAACAUUUGCUUGCUGAUUUUAAGUGUGUAUGGGUGUGCACACGGACUUCUGAGCCACAGGGAACAUGAUUCUACCUGUUCUCACAUUAUGAAACCAGAGGCUGUUGCAAUUUUUUGGACUGAGAUUCCAAGUUCUUGUGAUUAAUUAACAAAUGUGAUCUAAUAAUCUAAAUACAGAAAAGUGGAGAACAUGAAAAUCAUGCAUUAAGAAGAAAGUAUGUGGUAGAUAGACUAGAUUGGGUUUUGGUAUCUUGUUUCGCCUUAAGGUCUCAAACACUGGCAUGUAGUUUCAGCCCAUGCUGUUUUAAUUUGUGGCUUAUGACCUCUGAUAAUGGGAACUAUAAGAAAGGAUCUCUAGAUGAAAGAAUUGAGGGAAUGUAAAAGGAAGAGAGUAACAGGAGAUGGAAGAAGAAAGGAAACAAGGUGAGAGAGGAGAUGCACGGUUUGUUCCAUCAGGCUGUGCAUCUCCCCCUUAUCAUAAUGUUAUUGGUUAAGUGGAUAGGAGCCCAAUCCCUUGAGUGUUUGUCGGCAACUCAGGGGUCUGUUACAAUUAAUUAGGUCCAAUUCCUUCUGCUUAAGGCCACUAGUUAUGUAGGUGCCCAAUUCCGUCAAAAGAUGUAGAACUAUCAGCAAUCUUUAGCACAUGUUAUGGUUACUUAAAACACUAGGAUGAUUCUUUUUUAAAGUAAAUAAAGGUGCUGAAACUGGUCUUACUGAUUAGUCAAUGUGCUCAUGACUCAUGAGUUUUCUGGAAGUAUGCUGAGCUUAAUGUCACCAUCAUGUCAUUUUAUCAUGCUUCAAGAGAAAAUGCUGGAACUCUUACUAUUGUUAUCAGUUGAUGUUAGUAAUACUAAGUACUUACAUAUUUUAUGUCCCCAACUUAAUCUGCAGAAAUUAUGGAUUUUGGUUAUCCCCAAAAUCUUUCACCUGAAAUUUUGAAGCUUUACAUCACUCAAGAAGGGGUUCGUUCUUCAUUCUCAUCCAAGGUCAGAUGUCAAACUUCAAUUUAUGUGGUUGAAUUGAUCUCUUAGCGUAUGUAGAUAGUGUGCUUUAUUGAUUUUAUAUGAUUUUGAAGGUAUCAUUUAUUAUAAUUUCCCUGUCUUUCUAUGUUUAUAGCCAUCAGAAAAGCCAGUCCCAAAUGCAACACUACAAGUUACAGGUGCUGUUGGUUGGAGACGUGAGGGUCUUGUAUAUAAGAAGAAUGAGGUGACUCUUAUUUUAUACCUUCCUGCUGUGAGUUCUGUAUAACAAAUACACAUUUUCUCAAGCUAGUAUGGUUCAGGUUUUCUUGGACAUUGUGGAAAGUGUUAAUCUUCUUAUGUCUUCUAAAGGUGACCAGUGAAAAGCAUUAGCUCCUGAUUUAUGUUGUUAUACAGCAAUAUAUUUUUUAUUAAUAAACUUAUCCCUCUUUGGUGAAUUUGCUGGUUAUUUAGGGAGUGUUCUACGUUGUGAUGUGACUGGAAAGAUUCUCAUGAAAUGCUUCCUCUCUGGGAUGCCUGAUCUAAAACUAGGCUUAAAUGACAAAAUUGGGCUUGAAAAAGAAUCACAACUCAAGUCCAGGCCAGCAAAAAGGUAAGCUCAUGAAAGUUGUAGGGCUGUCUGGUUGUCAAAUUUUUACUAAAAUAUUUUUAUACAAAACCUAAACUGAAUGAAUUUUAUAAAAAAAACACUCAUUUGGUUAUUUUCCAUAUAAAUGAUUUUGUAAAUAUUGGCUUGUCAAAAUUAAAAAAAAGAGACUUUUCAGGUCUACCCUUGUUUUUGUACCAUUUUACAAAAAAAUCAGGUUUUAUGAUUAUUGUUUUAAUGGACCUCACAGACAACUAAAUAGCCCUUUCAUGUCCUUCUGAAGAAAAAACUUUAUAUACAUUCUAUGAUUUCCUUGGUUCAAAUUGUUUGUAUCAUAUGGAUUUAUUUGCUCAGAUAAUAGUUCUGGGAAGUUUUUUUUUCUUUUUUAACCAGCUUUCAACUUUUUGUCUGCUAGAUGUUGCCAUGACAGUAUGGGCAUCCACAGUGAAAUUCUGAGCAGAUGCUACUAAAGGGAGUGUUUUGUAUUUCUGUAUGGGGUUUGGAAAGAGUAGUUUUAAAUACCUAAAUUUAUGCCAAUGAGCAGUGAUACAGUGCUUAAGAAGGUUUAGUAAGUAUGGUCUCAAAUAUUUAGGAUUCUUUCCACACAAAUUUUUCUCUCCACCCCGGAGUCUAAUGUUCAUAUAGUAAAUUUAUUUGUUUGUCAGGCCAAGUCAUAAAAUGAUUUGUGGAACUAAAAGGCUGUCCGUUUUAUGAAAUUUCUAAUAUGAAAUAUGCUCUUGCCUUAGCAAUUUGCAUUGUUCUUGUAGUCUUUCAAUAAUCUACAAAAAGUUUCUCCUACAUUGAAUCAUAAGUGAAUCUCAAAUAUGACUUAUUUUUAGUUUAUUGAAAUUGUUGUUGAAGUAUUUGCCACAUGGACCCUUCUAGCAUCAUUGAUAACUUUUGGCAUCUUUUUUUUUCCUCCUUACUCAGUGGAAAGACCAUCGAACUUGAUGAUGUUACUUUUCAUCAGUGUGUAAACCUGACGAGGUUCAACUCAGAAAAGACAGUCAGCUUCGUGCCUCCUGAUGGUGAAUUUGAAUUGAUGAAGUAAUCGUACUACAUUUUCCUUAUGCCACAUUUCUUCUAAGUCAUGAAAUAUAUUGCCAUUUUCUGUUUCUUGCUAUGAAGCCUGUCAAAGCCAUUUGCUUUUUGCCAUAUUUGUGCAUAUGCCUUGUGUUGUUUUUUAAUAUCUGUGAUGUUGCUUUCCUUUGUGGUCAAAGUUAGUUAUUCUGUUUCAUAUUCAAACUAUUUAAACACUUAUUUCAGGAUAUUGAUUUUGGAUUUAAUUAAAGAAAAAAUGCCUAGAAUUCCUGACACAUAACAAAAAAUGUUUAUAGAAUUGUACUGGCAUUUGUUCAAGAAGAGUUUUAUGUGGGGUUUGCUUGCCUGAAGGAAACUAUCUAUCUUGGUUGGCAGAGCCGCUUAUGACAGUAAUAUAGUUUGUUUUAUCAAAUCAAAAGCUAAAUUAAGCACCUUUUGCCUAAACUUGAUUUUAUAGAAUUGCUGCACACCGAUCUUAGUUUGACCCUGUUCUUACCUCAUACUCCAACUUCUUUGGCUUAGUCAACAUGUCACAUAUAACUACCUUGAAUUCAUACUUCUAUAUUUUUAAAAAUUCAAUUCACUUUAUUCACUCGUUAUUUUGUUUAAAUACAACUUCUAGCGUUAUUGUGUCUCAUAUGUAGAAAUGCCUUUUCCCCUAUGUCUAAACUAAACAACAUAUGGUACACUAGAAGGGAUUAUAUGCCUUGUCUUUAUCUUAAUCAGAUUCCUCAUUCACGACUUCGCAUUUUCAUGCAUUUAUAUAACCUAACAAUGUUAAAGAAGUGCCAUAGCCAAAAUACAUGAAGAAUGAUUGCUUCCUCUUUCUUGUUCCAAUGAUAAUAUUCUGUAUUCUUAGGUACCGUAUUACUGAGGGUGUAAAUCUUCCAUUCCGAGUGUUGCCAACAAUCAAAGAAUUGGGGAGGACACGCAUGGAAGUUAAUGUCAAGGUUUGUCAUCAAUGUUAUGAUAGAUGCAUAUUUCUUAUGCUCAUAUUUACCUCGUUUCCUUUAUUCUGCAGGUGAAGAGUGUCUUUGGUGCAAAAAUGUUUGCACUUGGAGUUGUGGUUAAGGUUCCAGUACCAAAGCAAACUGCCAAGGCAAGCUUCCAAGUGACAUCAGGUCGAGCCAAAUAUAAUGCUUCAAUUGAUUGCUUGGUUUGGAAGUAAGUGCUCAACAUUUUGUCACACGGUAUAAUUUUUGAAUGUUAAUGCCUCAAUUUCUCCAAUUAGUUAGUCAAAAUGCCGAGCUUAUUUCUGUCCUCGUGAUCCGCCUUACAUUUUAUGUGUGCGCCACGACUAUUUGUGUACCUUUGCAAAAAGAAACAUUUGAUCUGAAGUUCAAGUUAAUCAGCAUUACUUGCAACCUUGGUGGUGUAUUGAACUUAAAUUAUGGAGUUUGUGGGUUGUUUUCUUGCUUAAUCAAGGAAAUGCUAUUUAGUCGCACUGCAAGCUUCGCAUUGUGGCAAAACAAUUAGGAGUUCAUCCAUGAAGUGAUUUCAUGAGAACUUUGGAGGGGAAGACCUCCUCUUCUUUUUUGAUAGUGAGGCCCUAUUUAUUGAGGAAAUUAGCAUCAUUUUUCAGUUCCCGUUGAAUUUAAAAAUUUUAUAUCCACAAUGUUGAUUGGAGCAUUGUUUGUAUGAUGUGAUCAGAACUGAAGAUGGCCAUUAGAGUUUUAAGCUUUUUGCUUGUUAAGUUUCCUUUAAGGUAUUCUUUUGCUUUUCUUAAUUAUGAAUACAAGGUGUUAAAGUCUUCCUAGGAGCAGUGCAUUUAGCUGAUUCAGUUUUUGGAUAUAACCAAAUAGUGGCUUUUCUUGAUGUAGAGCAGAAUCUGAGCUGUCUUCUUUGAGAAUCUAAUGAUGAAUGCUGUUAGAUGCUUCUGUAGGGGUGUUAUCGGCAGGGACCCUUUAUUUUAAACUUGUUUACCACUAAACAUUUAAAUUACUUAUCCCCACUUUACCCUCGUAAGUUCUUUAGGACAUGUUGAAAUUCAUGUUUGGUGUUGGCUUUUUUCAAAGUUGAUAUAUUAAAGAGAAUGAAGUUAUUAAGUGCUAUUUGAGCUAUAACAGUAGACUUUAGUAGGCACUAUCUAGAGAAACAUUGUGUUGAUUUGAAUUUGUUAAUUGCUUUACACUUUAAAUAUUCAACAUGCAGGAUAAGAAAAUUUCCAGGGCAAACUGAAACAACUAUGAGUGCAGAAGUUGAGUUGAUUUCUACAAUGGCAGAAAAGAAGCCAUGGACUCGACCUCCAAUUCAAAUGGAAUUUCAGGUUUGACUAAAAUCUUGACUGCAAGUUCUUUUGAUAAAAAUGCAAAUUGCUUUGCAUGCUUUACUCGAGGAAACACUUUUCCUGUUCUUGUUUCCUGAGUUAAAUAGAUCAUACACACAUCACAAUAGAUUAAAAUCAAUAGCUUGUUUUCACACUGUUUCCCGUACUGUAUCAUAAGCGGGGCAUGUUCAAUUCAACAAACGGACCUUCAGUUUUCAUAUUCCAUUGCAAGUUAGGUAGUACUGUGGCAUGAAACUGUAGAUUUUUUCCACUAAAAAAAGGAAAUGUAAAAUUUUCUAGAUCACCCCAUGGUGGAGCUUCACGAAACAAAUCCAGGUUUCCUGUUGGAAUUUUCACCAUUAUAAUUAUAAAAACAGUGUUAAUUAUUCGUAAAAGGGAGUUUUAACUUGAACUGGUAUGGCCAUUUAGAGAGAGUUCCUGCUUUGAAGCCUGAAUCAGGCAUGGAAAGUCUAUAUAUAAGAUGCGUCUAUAUAUUUAGGAACUUUUUUUGUGGAGUUGCCUUAGCUGUUAGAUAUUUCUUUUCUUGAAACUUUUUCUUUUUUGCCAUUUUCUUGUUUUCUUUUUUUCUCAUUCUUUGGCCAAUCACCAUAACCAAGUGAACUGUACAUGCUCUGUGCAAAAAUGAGACCGUUGUAUGGAGUUGCAAUAUAAAUUCAUAACUCUUGCUCUGCCCAAGUGGAACUAUUUAGUCUGCUAUUAGUUUCUGGAAUCACUGAGUGUUGCCUUAUACUAUUCCGCCAUCAUGAGUCAGCAACAUAUUGCAACAUUUUCGUAUGCUGAUACCAACAUAAUAGGUUGCUUAAUGUACAAAAUAAUUCUGUUUUAUUUGCCUGGAGUAACUUUGGGGCCUAGUUUCACUUGUGUUUUUUUAUCUGUCAGGAGUCUCUGCAUGCUUUCUUGGCACAUUUUAAAACUAAUGUUUGAAAUCUUUUUGGUUCUGUAGGUUCCUAUGUUCACUGCAUCAGGAUUACGAGUCCGAUUUCUCAAGGUUUGUUUGGAACUAAUGCAGCUUCAGGUGCCUUCUGUGGCUUUAGGACCUGACUAAAAUUAAGUCCUCAUUUCUCCAAAAUCUCUGCAGGUUUGGGAGAAGAGUGGAUACAACACCGUAGAGUGGGUUCGUUAUAUCACAAAAGCCGGGUCAUAUGAGAUAAGAUGUUAGAAUCUGUGACUGCCUUCAUGCACAUCGACGGAACUGUUUAGGCGGCUCCCCAGCUCUCCAACUGAACAAUGUUGAUAUCAGGAUACUUUAUUACUUCAUGAUCAUGCAUUCCUGUGCCUGCAAAACAGCCUUUAGAUGAGGAGCCGCCCCUUGUGCUCCUUUGCUUCGCCCCCAUUUUUUUUCUCUCUUUAUAGCAAACAGUCUGUAUGUGCCGUUGUCUGAUUCCUUGUGGUGCAAGAUCAGUAUAAUGUUUUGUAAAUGCUGGAUGGCAGGUUGUAUAUUUUGGCUUUUGCUUAUGAGGUUUUACUUCAAGUGAUGUACAGAUUAUUGAAUUGAACACGGCAAAGCUGGCUAUUAUUUUCUAUAGUCCUAACUUAAACAAACUAUAACUACCUAAUUUCCAAUGCCACGCCAAACUAGUCUUGUAUUAGUGGUCUAACUGGUCUAACUGGGAUAUAGAUGAUAAAAUAUCAUGAUUGUCGACAACAAUGGGAGGUAUCCUUGGUCUAACUGGUCCCCUAACAUAGUUUCAUAGCCCUGAACAAGCCAAAGAAACCUUAAUUUUUAUCUGCUUAUGCGUAAAUCCAUGACCCAUCGCAUUACCAUCACGCCCCACCCCUUCCCCAUUUAGCCCCAGGCACCACUGUGGAUCUCAUGGCUUUAACCUUUGAUGAUUCCUUGAAUCCAUCCAACCUAACUAAGUUUAUCAAAUAUGCUGCCAAUCAACCCGACUCCUCCAGCUCAAUUGAAUAAUCUGAUCUGCCCAAUUUAAUCAGUUGAUUUUUAACAAAAUUCAAAUUUCAGCUAUUAAAUCAAGUUCUCUUGGAUAACUCGCAGCAUUCGCCAUUUGUAAGCAGUAAUUUCUUGAAUUUAUAAAUUACUAUUAUAAAAUUUAGUGAAAGAGCAUGGCGAAUUUCAAAUCCUCGCAUCUCUCUUACAUGUUUGGUCAUUCCAACCAACUUAACAACAUGCAUAAAAAACCCUGAUCAUAUUGUCAGAUCAACAAAAGAUUUCAAGACAAGUUCCUUUUACCGUAUUCACUCUGCAGCGACUCUUUGUUAUCGAUAAAACUUCUAAUCAUCAUUUCGUUGGAAAAUUAACAUGCUUUCUCUUUAUUCCAAGGAACAUCUUAGGAUGUCAUGUUCUCCUCCUCCAUGUUCGAAUUGCAAUGACAUGCACGGGGCUCUCUUUUGAUCCUCUUCAUAAAAUGUAAGUUCACUACGUUGUUGCAGAGAUGAACGCCAUCUGAUAUUGUAAUGGCCUGGUGCUUUAUAUCUUGUAGGGCAUCUAGGAAUCACUUUUUAUUUAGAGAGAUGUGGAUAAGGACUGUUGGAUAACCAUCAACAAGUUCUGAACUUCAAUAUCUUAAAUACCUGCUAAGAAACCAAUGCUCUCAUUUCUCCUCUGCCCUAUCUGCAGGGGUGAGAAGGAUUUAUGACAGUGCUUGGCACGACCAUAGAUGCAUAUGCUCCUCGUUUUGUACAGUGCUAUGUUUGGAUGAUCACUUCACUCAAGUUUUUUGUGCUUCAAGAGUAGCAUUCGUUGAGGAUCAUAAUGCUUAGGGUCAAUAUUAAGACGGCAACUUUCAUCCUAGUGGACCGAACAGGCAUACAAAAGGUGUAGGAUUUUAGAUGGUUAUAUGGUUGUUGAACUGGUGAGGGAAGGACUCCUACUCACACUUCAAGACAGCAAGCUCCAUCGCUUUAACUCGUUGAUUACAAAUGAGAGGGUAGGCUUCACCACCGACUAUUUUAACCAACUCACUAUGAGUAUAUUCAACGGGUUUAGUGGAAGAAACUAGUGUAAGAAGUCUAUUGAUUAUUUCUCACAAGUCUAUGGAGGAGGUCUUGUUUACUGGUUAAGGGUUCCCACAUUGAGUUGAGAUCCUCUAUGGUGCAUGUUUUGCACUGUAGAGAGCUGUACAACCUUGAAUAGCCAUCAUGUCAUCUAUCUUGGAGAUGGAUAGCUCUCCUUCAUCUCUGCAAUGCAUCAUGUCUUGUAUUGAACGAAAGCUGCUCGUUUUUUUAAGAUGGCUGACGUGGUAGCUAUCCAAUGUUGUAAAGCCCUUAAUUUGCAGUGCGGAGUAUCUGAACUAACAUUUAUACUAGAAUCUAUCAAAAUCUUUGGACCAUUCACAUGCAUGUGUUAGGCAUGAGAAAAUCAUUUCUAUUGUGGUUCAUUUUUAUCUAAAAUUGUGCAAUUUUUAUUUCUGCCUAGUUCCAAUAUGGUUUGAUCCUUUUGAUGCUGGAAUUGGAAUGGAGGAAAGAAUAUAUAUCAGCAUAAGCGGUAUGUGUUAAAGCCAUCACAAACCACAUUUCUACUUCAAAACAACUACCUUGUAUCUUGUGCUUGAAGUAAUAGGUAAUCUUUCGUUCCUCCUAGGCUCAAAAAAUGCGUACAUUUUCUAGAGAAACAUGAAAUGUGCAUAUUUUUAAAUAAUGAGGAAGAACUCUUUCUUAAUUUUUUGGAGAAAGGGGCAGAGUAAUUUGAGUUGGACCUUGCUAUCACACUGCUUGGAUUGGCAAAUUUAAUUCAGUAGUAUAGGAAUAAUUACUUCUUUGUAAAAAUGAAAUGCAUUAAACCUUUGUAAAUUUAUAUACCUUAUCAUUGCAUGAAACACGCAUCUCUGCUAAGUUGAUGGAAAUAUGGUCUCAAUCCAAUUUCCAUGCAGGAACGGAAUCAAAUGAUUUAGUUUCACUUGCUAAUUGAUAGCACAGGACAACAUAAUUAGGAAAAAAACACUCUUUCGUUUGGGUGUAGUUUUUAUGCGAAAGAAUGAUUGAUCCUUUUUUUGCAACAUUGACCAUUGCAUUGCGCCCUGCAUAGAUCUCAAAGUACUCUGAACUCCUUCAUUCAUCUAUAUGUACAUAUCUCAAAGUGACUACUGCGUGAUCCAAUAGUAGAUUUGCACAAAGGAAGGUUAAUCCUUCUUUUGUGCAAAAGACGCAACCCCCAUCUUUCACAUGCAUGCCUCUUGUGGUGUGAAAAAGACAUUGUUCUCCCAAACAUAGAGAACCACCCAUAGAGGGUGGUACUACAUGAGUACAAAUUACUAAAGGAGCACGGGUCCUCUGCAGUGCACGCAUGGCACCAUAGAGUGUCGUGCAGUCGUGGGUGGCCGCUAUUAAAAGAUGGAUGACCAUGAAACAAGGCAGUCCACAAGUAUGUACCAUGCAUGUGUUGUUUGAUGGCUGCCAUUCAAGAUUGCACAGUACUUUAUGAUGCAUGGCCCGCACCAUAGAAGAUCUUGGUUGUAUUAAAAAGUUGUGAACCAUACUCUACAAAUCCCACCAACCAUGUCGCCAAAUAUGCUUAAAGCAAGCUUUAUCUUCUUUUGUUUCGAUUGCACUCAACUCUUUUUUUUUUUGAUGAAAAUUGCACUCAACUCUUUAGUCAUGUCUGUACGAUUCCAUUCUAAAGCUUUGUUUUCUUUUUCUUUUUUCGGGUUAGCUGCAGUAGGAAUAUUGCUACCUUGUAAGAAGCAAAAAAAUACAAUGAAGCUACUGUUGCUAUUUCAUAACUCAAUAUACAUAAUUAGCAAAAUGCUGAAAUCUCCCAAUAAUAAUCCAAGGUAAGUUCCCAUGAAGAGCGCUCCAACAAGAAAGCUAUAUACCUUUACUUUAUGAUUGGUUUGUAAGUUGAAGUAAAACCUUAUAUACAAUUUAUACAUUUUCUCCUUCAUUAAGCAGGGAUGGCUGUCAAGUUUUAUCCAAGUUCAUUAGAGGUACAAAAGAAUGCAAUGGGCUAUGGACUUACUCUUGCAACUUCAAAAAUGACUUAGACCAGACCCCUUACCCAAUCUACAUGCAAUUAUGUAAUGAAAGGCUUGUAGAUGGACGCCUAGAUGGUGAGGAAUCUAUAUAUGGAUCAUCAGGUCAUAUGAUGGAUAUCUGAGGCAAAAAAAAUGCAAAGUCAAAAUGAAGGCCACUUUGUUUUCAAAACCAGAUUUUAAAACUUAUGGGAAAAAGCAGGAGAUAUUGAUAUCUAAGCCUCUAGACUAAGAUGACGAGGAACCACAUCAAGGAGAGUAGAAGAAAGACGCAGUCUUUGUAAAUUAUUGUAUAGGAACUUUGAUAUAUGUAACAUUUGUCAAGAAUCCGAAGGUAAUACAGAAAUUAAUUUAUUUAGCCAAAUGGCAUGAGAUCAAAACCUUUAAGAAGUUUCCCAAAGUUUCUUCAAUUCAAAUUGUUCCUUAGUUUGCAAAUAAUCUUGACAAAUAAUUAGAGAAAUCGUCUUGAAAGAGGCUCAAGCAUGAAAUCUGAAGGCUAAUCACUACCUCAGUUCUAAGGCAUUCUAAAAUUACAGCAAACAAAAUGAAACCUCCCAAACUCUCCUAGACCUGAAAAGAAUCUUACAAAAAAAGAAGCAAACGAAAAGAUUUGAGCGUACAUGUACAUGUAAUCCUCAAGAGUUGAUUAAAAAUGUACCGUUUCCAGCUGGACAAUAUUGCGGCAUAUGAACAUGGGUGUGCUACCCUUUUCCUAGUUGGGGUUCAUUUUUGUCAUGCACUCAAGGUAGAGAAGAAACAGUGAUGUUGUUAGAUCACAAGUUAUCUGAUGCAAUUUAGAACUAAUCUGAUCCAAAAGCCUAACAAAGGGAAAUGCCAAAAUGAAUUGUGUAACGGGACAAAGCAUAUUACUGUGUAUGUGUUCCUAUGAACUUUUAGUAGUCAAUGUAAAAACAAAGAGAGCAUGUUAAAAAUACACAAACUUAUUACUCCAAGUAAGCAUGACGCUUUAGUUAGAAUGAGAAUUAUUAAAUGGUUGGCAGAAGAAACCUGAUUAGAAAUAAUCUAGCAAAGUGACUAUCAGAAUUAAAUCUUCCUCUGAAUGAAGCAAAUUUGAAGAUGUCGUCUGUUCUUGUGUUCAUAUUUCUCUACUUCUCAUGUUAGAAAGAAAACAUUUGCCCAUACUAUAGAUGGAAGAAGAGAGUGAACAAGCACAAACAUUAGCAUAGGCUUAACUCACUUCUAAUAUCAACUUCAAUCCACAGGAGAAAACAAUCUCAGGAAUUCUCAUAUGGUUCAAGCAUAAGGUUAAAUGUCAUGAGUUCCAUAUUCUAAUCUUUUGGUUUUUGGCCAGGAAAGACAAAUAGAAAUAAAGAAAAAAAUAUUCUUAAUUAAAAAGAAAUUAAAGGAACCACUUCAUGUUAAAGAGUUUCUGUAUAUAGGCUUUUAAGUGCAGACUUAAUUUGGUGUCUAUAUAAAUUUACUUACCUUGUGUAUCUUGAUUGCGAUGCGAAGAGAUAUGUGAUUAGCCCAGUAGGAAUGGCAAUCAUGCAUUUUCCCUCCUUCAGCUAUUUUUAUUUUAGGUAUUCAUCAAAAGUUGUACAGAUCAACAUGGUGGAGUCAAUAACGGUCAUGAAGAGUUGUUAAUUAUGCAUAAUAUCAAGCAGACAAUCAUUGAAAUGCAAAUUGUUCUAAGAAGGUGGUGUGUGUAAACUUGGGGUUAGAGGACUAAGAGAAAUCAAGAACUAAGUGAUGCACCCAAAAGAUAACAUGAUCAUGCGACAAAAGCACUGUAGCAGAAGGACUCUCUAGCAAACCAUGAAUUGGUAGAUCUUAAUGCUUUUUCUCAAGAUCAAUCAAGGUGAUAAUAGGACCAAGCACCCAAAAAGCCUUGUAACCUUUUACCUCUACCUCAUAUAGCCAGAUUUUAUGAUUUUACCAAACUCAAACGCCAAACAAAUACACUGCCAAACCAGAUUUUACAAGAACGAAGGACAUAAAACAAGAACACUACUCCCUACACGACCUUGCACUGUGUUUUUAGCUGUGGCCACAUGAUGGAUUAAUGGAGCCACCAGGAACUCUAAGGAGCAGCAUAUCAUUAAGGGAAGAGAAUAUCAAAUAGGUUUAUGUGCAAUAUAUUAUACUUGACCCUUCAGUCCUAACAAUAUUAAGUGUUUGAGUGAUAACAAAAUUAACAAAAUCACUUGCAAAAAUAAAUAAUGCACCCCAAAAAUUAUCAAAAAGUGGUGAAAGUGCUGUCUAAGAUUUUUUGAUCUCCUAAAGGAAAAAGAAACAAAGAGACAUGAGGAAACCUUGGCUUUGGAAUGACCGAUAUGAGUCAAAAGGACAAAACAUUAUCAUUGAUAUAAGAGCCAAGAUUUGCUUCUUUUGGUAUCAUUGCCAUUCAAUUCAACUCAAAAGAAUCCAAGUGUUUCAUGUUCCAAAGAUUUUAGAUUUUAGAAGAGCAAAUAUAGAUCGAGGGAGAAGAUUAAUUUCCAAGGUGUUGGCUUGGAGAGGCCAAAAGCAAGAAGGACUUAUAACGAAGAUAUGCACACGUGCAUUCAGUUAAUAACUCACUUCCCAUGUCCUCCUCCUGUCUCGCACAUCCCCCUUCUCACUAAUCUCUAAACCAUCCUUAAUAUAUAAUAAACCCCAAUCUUCCGUAUAUCUUAAUCUUUGCUAUAUAUAUAUAUAUUGUUUUCUUCAUCGCAAAAGUAGAAGCCGCACCGAUUAUCAAAAAAAUAUAAAUAUAGAAUGUGAUAAUAGAAAUAAUAUAAGAAAGCACCAGUCAUUUAGCAGGUUGCUUUUAUCCUUGUAAGAAUUUGGAUACAAAAUCAUGUAAUAAUAUCCAAAACAACUCUCAGAAAUAAAUAAAAAAAAACCAGCUUCUUCGUGUAUCAUAUGCUUAAUUUGUUAUAUUAUUCUUUCUUUCACAGAGAAGCCUAAAAUAUCAGCAAAAAAAAAUUGCACACUAAUUUCAGAAAGAUAUCUAUACGUAGAAGGUCAGAGAGUACUACAAGUAGAGAUAGAGUUAAAUCCAAGUGCUAGGGCAUGUAGUAGUCUCAACCCAUUGUUUUAUGCAAAAAGACUUUGGUUUCCAUAUUGGACAGCAAACAAGAAGAUUAUCAGAAGGAAAUGAACAAGAGAACUCAAAUGAUCAAAAGAUCAAAACGAGAGAGAGAGAGAGAGAUCGUUCAUCGACAUCCUCAUAAAUUAAUGUCUAACCUUUGCCUCUGCCAUGAAUUUGCUCCGCCAUCUUCUCAUGAUUAUCUCAGUCGAUGGAUCGACGGUUAAAUACGACCAAGUUUCACCUGUGAUCAGUAGGGUGGCCGGCCUGCAGCACUCCCAGGCCACCCGGCGUGUCCGUCCAUUGGCAACUGUGGCAUGUUGAGCGGCAGAUUAAAGAACGGCAAGCUCGAAGGGUCCGGGAACGGAUUCCCACCUCCACCACCACCGCCACCGUUAGUCCCGCCACCACCUCCGCCGCCACUUCCCGGGCCCUGCGAAACAGGUGGCUGCAUCUGGAGCGGUGGCGGCUCCUCAUCUUCAAGAGGAAGCCGCUCGUACGCGACGUUGGUGAACGACGCGGCGAUCACGAUGACCGGGCCGGCAGCGAUGAGCGCGCCCACUACGCUCCCUCCUACGACCUGCCCCUGCCCGCCAGCUAGGAAGAUGGUGAGGCUGGUGGCCCCCGGCGGGGCUGGGGGCGGGAGGAAGGAGCCGGAGAGGGAGAGGAUCUCGAAGCGGCCAUGGAGGGUGACGACGGAGCCCGCGGAAGCCGGCUGGCGGAGGCUGACGUUGGUGACGGAGCCGCUGCCGCUGAGGAUGCAGACGCCGCGCUGGCGGCGGCGCGCGUACGUCGCGACGCAGUCGAAGACGUCGCAGCCGCUGCCAACCUCGAGGAUGUGGGCCUGAAGGGUGUUGGCACUCUCCCGGGUGAUGAUAACGGGGGGCUUUGGCUUGUUCUUCGACCCCGGGGGUCGGCCGCGGGGGCGCCGGGCGACGACAUCGCCCGGCCCCGCGGCCGAGGACCCGCCGGGGGGAUCCAUCAACUCCAGCCCUGCGGAGGCGGCGGCGGCGGCAGCGGAGGACUCAUCCCCGACGCCUGCGGAGUCAUCAGCGUCAGAGCGCUGGAGGUGGAGGUCGGGGCGGCGGUGGAGGAGUGGGUGGACGAACCGGGAGGCUGUGCCGAGAUCUAGGCCCGCCAUGCCAGCAUCCAAAGAAAUAGAGUAAUUUCUGGUAAGAGGGAGAAAAAAAAAGUUGAGUUGGAUUUUUUUGAAAUAAAAAAAGGACAAAAAGAGUGGGAAAUCAAUUUAAAAAGGGAUUUUUUUUAUAUUUUUGGGAGGAAUAAAGAACUAAAAAAAGAGGGAUGAGGAGUGGAACUCUACAGGUAAGGCAGAAAUAUAGAAAAAAGUUUGGGGGAUGAGUGCAGAGAAAGGAGGGCUUAAGCGAGCUUCAGUCUUUGGAGAAAUGGAGACGAUAGUGGGUGCUGCCUAGAAGUUGAUGAAACAAAUAAAAUAUUAGAAAGAGAGAGAGAGAGAUUACUAAAAUGAUUAUUCUAUUUAAAACUAGGGUUAGAGAGGGGUUAAGGUUUGGAACUUAGGGUUAAGUAGGAGCAAGUGGGAGGGAGGUUGCUACUGUGGGCGGGACCCACUUCUUAGUUCUUACUCAUUUAUCCUGUUCACACUUGAUUCAACUUGGGUUAAUGGCUAGUCUUAAUUAGUUUCAAGUUGGUGAUAAAGAGGUUGGGUGCACCUGAGGUGGUAGCCUAGUGGGAGCGUGAUCUUACUUCCAACCAAGUGGUUUCGAAUUCGAAACGCACGGACGUCGAUUAAAUUGUGGAAACCAGAUGCUCUCUGCUUGGACACGGGGUCUGUAAGAACAUAUCGCUAUGCUGGUAGCCUCGGAGGUGUCAGGUGUGACGCAUUCACACGUGGUAUUCAUGUCGGAGCCUAGAGGAGUAAUGGAGUCGGGCCCACCAGUGGAAAGGAUAUGAGUAAAACCAGCAGGAAUGCUCAACAUACGGUCAUUUUUAUCCAUAUCGAACAUUCUUCUGGCAGGAUGGGACCUAGUGAGGGCUUCUACGCGAGGGUGGGUUGUCCCUUCCUCCCCCCUUCCUCUUUCUUUCAGCAAAAACAAAAAAAAGAGGGUGGGUGCGCGCGCGCGGGGCUGGGUUUUAUGGGCAAAGGUUGGUGGCGCGGAAGACAAUGCACAAGGUUAUUGGUCCACCGUAGUUGUUUGGAUUAGGGUGUUGACAGGAAAAAAAGAUGGAUUGAGGUGAUUGGGAUGUUUUAGCUUUAUUUGGCAUGUUUGAGGUUGGGAGAAACAUCGCUCUUCUUGUACAUCAGUUUUGGAUUUGGACCCGUAGUGCUUUUAUAACCACAGCUCAUGGAUCAAAGACAAGAAUGUUAAACUUUGUGCUUAUCUUUCACAGUGGUCCUUUGGGGCAUUGCAAAGUGAUCAAGAGCUAUGGACUAAUCUCAAGAGUCUAAAUUUUGACGAACCAUUCUUACACUGAAAAUAACCUUUGCAUUAUGCGCUGCAGCCAAUAUUGACUAUAUAUAUAUAUCUUCACUGUGCAUGCAUCAUAUAGUUUCGUUUUACAUACAUUGUUCAAUAUAUAAUAGUGAUGACAAAAGACUAGUAAACCAUGGACUAGGAGGAUUCCUGCACCCUCUAAAUUGAGUUGUAGGGUUUAUUUGAUGCUUGUCUGACCAAAAGCUCACAUAACCAUUUUAGGUCAUUGUUUAUCGUUGCAGGAGUGGAAGGUAGACUUUCAUCACCCUAAUGUUCAACAUUUAGGUUCUAUUCUUUCUCCACAAGCUAACCAACUAUGACAUGGAUUAAAAUUUCAUUCAAGGUCUAUGAGUCAGUCCGACCGAACCAAUCACUUGUUCAAAUUUGCUAUUGCAUCAUCAUAAAAAAUCAACAAGACGAGGAAUCUUACAAGAGAGUCAGAGAAAAAAACCUCCCGCAAAUUAAUAUAAGACCUUGAAAAUAAAUUGUCGGCCUACUCUCAUCAAAGGCAACUGUGGGCUAGCAAUAUGCAUACCAUACAUGACCUAGAAGGAUUGUUGGUGAGUAAAUAAACGAAAAGCCUAUGAUUAAAAUUCUCGAACUAUCCAGCCGUGUGGAGUAAAACACCGCAUUUUCUUAACUAAAGUGAUUGGUGUUUUAUGGUACAAGGAUGGUGAUUAUGAUGCUACAAUAAUGCACAAUUAUAAAUAUGAAGGCGAUAACUAUAGCUCGCCAAUAUCUAAAUCAAAAGAAAGGAGAAGAGAGAUUAUAUUUAGUUUUGAAGUUUUUUUUUUUUGCUGAAGCGGAUGUAUCAUACAUGUCGGAUAUGAAUAUAUCCAAAAAAAUUAAAAGAUAAUAAGUUCCGAAGUGCACUAAAUAAUCUUCUCUUCCGUAGCCAUAGGGUGUUUUGAAGACUUUCACACGGGGCCUCGUCCUGAGCCCGGUUGAGCCAGAGUCAGGCUCGAGGUAAAUUAUAUGGGGUGAACGGCACGCGACGAUCACGUGCGAUGGCCAAGUCAAAGGCACAUGAGACUAGCCGUCGCUUUCAUCAGGAAUGGGGUCUCAGAGGUGCCCGCGAAACCCGGACGGCUCUGAAACUUUGCUUGGGGUUUGUGUUAAAAGGGCAUUGGCCCUCUCAAUACAACCCAAACCCACAUUAAAAAACUAUAAUAAUAAAAUAACAUAAUCUUAAAAAAAUGCUAUGUGUAUAUGCGUGCUUAUAAAAAUUCUUAGUGGAUUCCAAAUUUAUGAGUAAAUCCACCACCUUGUCUUCCUUGCCAUAGGCCAAUCAAAUGCUUCAGGAAUACCUUGGUUGGAUGGAGUAAGUUACAACUAUUGCUUGAAUGAAAUCAAGAAAUUAAAACUUGAAGGUUGAUAUAAUGAUAUUUCGGUAUAUUUUGUUGAUGGUCCUGUGCAACAUAUUUAGUGAGAUGAGUGGGCCGAGAUUUUAGAUAGAAAGCUCUAGAGGAUUCACUACAUGGUUGGAUAUGAUUUUGUUACAAAUUAAUUUUAUUAAAAUGAAAGAUAAAAUAUAAAAUCUAAAGUCCAUUUGUGCUUUUUUUUGGUAUACAGUAGGAGUCAUAGACUAAAACAAAAGAAUUUUUUGUAGUUUAAUUAUUGUGCAAGAAUUGACAUGCUUAGCUAAUUUGAAGAAGUUCAAAUCUAUUGAUUGAAUUAUGUUCUUUUGAAUCUAAUCAAUAUAAAUUUAUGUGCUAUAAUUGAUGUCGAAUACUGGUACCUAGUCCUAACCUUUUCUUGAUUCCAAAGAACUUUAGAUGCCUAAAAGCAUUCUAUUUGUGACUUGAAGUGUUCUAUUGGAUGAUUUUAGACCAAAUCUUGGUCAAAAUUAUAGAUUAAUGGUGGUCGAGCCAUGACUCUCAUGAUCAUAUGCAGAUUCCAUAUUGCAGUCUAAUUUGUAAAUUAUAUGACAAUCAAUUCAUCAUUCAUGUAUGCCAAUGUCUAAAAAAUUUAACAUCCAAGUUUUUGAGAACUAAAGUUGAAGCGGAGCCUAAUCAAUUAAUAGAGUAGGAAAGAAAUCGAAUCCAUGUAUUUUAUACCAAUACAAGAAACUUUGUCAUUUUUUUAGAAAAUAAAUUCAUUUAACUUUUAGAGAGAGGGGGAGAGAGAAAGAUUUGAUCAACUCUACUUGUUGGCAGCCUCGAAAUUUAACUCAAAAAUUAGGGUUGGGUACAACAAAGAGGCCAAAAUUUAAAUUUGUAGCUUAUAGGGUACUAACUAUUGAAAUAACAAAAAUUGUUUGUGUCACUACCGGUUUUUCGACUCGAAAAAUUAUUAAAUGGAUCAGGUCCACUAGACCAGUCCAAAUCACGUACCCCAGGAUUUGGACUGGUCCACUAAAUCUAAUCCAUCUAAUAGUUUAUCCUUCGACUCCAUUCCCAAACAUCACCUUUGGCUAGUCUCUUCUUGCUCUCUCCAAUCUAAUUUAUCCUCCACUCUUCGCACCAAUUAACUAUCGCUCCUAGAACAUCAACCCCACGCACCCAUCAACUGUCACCCUCACCGCGGUCAGCUCCUCCGCGAUACGUCCACGAACAUUGUUCCCUCUAACAUCUGGAGUUAUCCUUCCUUGAACGCAAGUAUAAUUACGGCUCUUGGCGGUGAGCUUGAGCACCCUUCUAUUAUCAAGUUUUGCUCCCUUAUCCAUUUCCAAUGCACAUAGCCUAUGUGUACAAAUAAUAUUAGCUUUCCUUAUACGUCUGCUAAAUAAUUAAUCUAAAAAGAGCCAUCAAUAAAAAAAAGAAAAGAAAAAGAAAAUUAAGAAGGGGUACUUUGGUAGUUUGAUUUGGAUAAGUUUGAUUUAGAUGAGUUCGGUUUGCUACUCAUCCUAGGGUUCCCUUGCUUUAAAGUCUUCAACUAUUCCUUAAAGCUUCUCUAUUUGACUAAGAUAUUAACCAUAUGUACUCAUGAGAGUUUUAAAAAACGUAGGUACAAACAAGUUAUAUUAAAAAUUAGGGGUCAUUGUGGAGUUUUAGAUCUCAAAGAUUGAUCAUCUUGAUUUCUUUAGUUGCGUAUAUUAAUGCAUAUUGACCUUUUCACCUAGCUAUAAAAAAAUCCUAGCAUAUCAAACAACGGAUCCUACAAUAUGGGUGAAGUUAGAGCUAGCCUUGUGGAUCCUUGGAAAAUGGUCAUGACCUUGGAGGUAUGGACGGCAAACGCGACCCGAGGCCACAAGCGUGUUGUUACCUUCUCCACUUUUGACUCGUUCGCAAGAUGUAGAGGACCGGGGCCAAAGUAUAUAGUGGUUUGAUGGAAGUUUCAUGGAGGAUGCCGGCAUCCGUUUGUCACCUUUAGCUUUAAGAAAGCUAUUAGGAAAUGAAGUAGUUGUUGGUCUUGGAUUGAUGUUGCUAUCAGGCAUUGCCUGGUGUAAAUAGACAUUCAGACUAAACAUCAAUCAAACUCCAGUUGAUCCAAAAUUAGAGUCCGAGGGCCCCAUUAAGCUUUGCCCAUGAUGCAGUCGCUUUCUUUGUUUGAAAUCUAGCCCCUUAGUAUUUUUGAAUGAUGCACAAAGAAGCCCUCAUCAUGUGGUGAUUUCAAGACAAUGAUAAAUUUUCUUUUAUUUUCCUUUCAAAUGUUAGGGCUUGACUAUCAUCUCAGUUACCCCCCCCAGUUUUCUCUCUCUCUUUCUCUCUCCUUUGGUAGAGCAGUUUUUCUCUUUUACAAUACAACAAAUCAUCAUUGUUCAUCCACUUGGCAAUUAGUGAAUCAAUAGGAGGCAUUGGUUUAAUUAAACUUUGUUACUGUUCACUGAAUCAUUCUAAAUUGCACUUGGAGUAUCCAAAUAUAGGUUUCAAUAGAGCGCUGAUAGUGGUGGUGAUUGAAGGCUUUUUUAAAAAAAGUACUACUUUCUUCCACACUCAAUGUCCUUUCCUUGUUGAGCUAGCUACGGUGAAUGGACAAUUGAAAUCCUAAACCUAGGGAAGAUGCUUCCAUCCAAUCAUUCAAUAAUGAGAACAUUCUCAGGGUCCUUAAGACACCACCAUACAAUAGAUAAAUGCAAAGCAAUCAGGAUGUUAGUACUAGAAAGUAACUUUUUUAGAUAUAUUUUUUAAAAUAUGUUUCAAGUUUUAGACAUCCUGGAAGAAAGCAGAUUAAAAAAUGGAAUUAGGAAAAAAAGGCUAGGUGAUUACUCUAUCAAUGUUAUUAUAUAUUCAUCAAACAAGAAACGCAUUCUCUGUAAUAACUAAUAUAAAUAUUGUUAAGUCAAAUAUUAGAAUAUGUUAUGGUCUAAGAUGAAGCUACGUUUGCCUAGCUCAUUGUUUGUCAGAAAUGAAAGUUGCUUGUUUAGAACCUUGAGGUUAGAAUUUAAAAUGUGUUAGGGUUAUUAUAAUUCUUUUGUUAUAGUCUAUAUUUUAAUAGAUAGUGAAGGAAAAGAGGUAUACUUACAGAGUUUCUAGAAUUGUUUACCUUAUGUUACUGAAGUCGUAACAAAAAGUUCAUUUUGAAUGUUACCGAUAAAGAAAUGUAAACAAACUUUUAUGGAUGAUCUAAUCUGUGCCACUAUUAAUGCCAUUCCAAUAAAAUAUGCAAGAACUUGUAAUCGAUUGAACUUACUGAAAGUUCAAUAUAAAGCUUAUGUUCUUGUAAAGACCCGUGUGGGCAUAUAUUUAGUCCCAUAUCAGUUAUUCGUUGGAUAAAUUUUGAAUAUUUAUACAUGAUCAAGUAACUCAAAUAAUACCUUCUAGCUAGUGUUUUUAAGUGAAGUUAUGGAUUGUUACAACUAAUAUUAGAGCGAACCCGGCCCAUUACCUAUGUGAGCUAAGAGAGACUGCAACUUGAAUCCAUUGGGGUUAACUAUGGAUCGAUUGUGGUGCUUGUGAUUAGAUUUGAAUGGAUUUAAACAUUUAGCUCGACGAGGAUAUUACAGCUUAAAUGGAUGGAGUAUGUGAGGACUCGUCCCACAUUCCCCUUCCAACUAGUCUUUUUCUGGAUGAGGUUGGUUAGUAAAAUUGCAUGCACUUAACAUUAUUAUUCCAGUGUAAUAAAGCAUUUAAAUACGCAAAACAUUCAACAAGAGAUGUUACUAAUGAUAUUCAGCUUACUGAAUUGACUAGUAUAUAAUAUUGGGAUUAUAGGCAGUAAUUCUUGUAAGUACAAAUGUUAUUAACUAAGAGAUGUCCUGGACCCAAUAGUGCAUGAGAGUGCUUUUAGAUAUACUAAAUUUUAUGGUCUGGGUGGGUUCACGACAACAGCCAAAAGGUGGUUGAACCAAACCAUUUGCUGAAUUAUGAUAAGAUAUUUUGGUGAAGUGAACAAGUUUUUUUUUCUGGCAACCAAUGAUGCUACUCUCCCUAUCAGUGGGAUGAGUUGUAGAUGAUGGAAGGUGCAUAUCUUAUGCUAGCUUGGUCCAAUUGGAUCCAGUGCCAUUAAUUAUUAACGAGGACUAAGUCAUGGAAGUUAGACUAGUCUUUUGGCUGUUCUAGACCAAAAUAUAUCUUAAAAUGCUGGAGCUGGCGGUGGACAUUACUGCAAUCAUGUUUCCUGUUCUUAGAAAAGUUGGUGCUAAUUAUCUUUGGAUCUAGAGAUUCAUUUGGAUGGUUUGUUUCCAACAUGGAGUAUUUUUCGACUACAAACCAUACAUCAUAUGUGCACUUAGACUCCCUUAAAUGUCCUCUUACUAAUUAAAUGGCUUUAAAGGAGAAUCCACAUUGCCUUCUUAUGAAGUAGGAACCCUAAUUUACAAUGGGGUGUCUAGCUAGGCAGAAUAGAAUGAUGAGAACCCUAUAAGGGAAUUUAAGUCCUCUUCUAGUUAUGCUGUCAAUGCGUUAUCAUGCUUCAUCUCUAUCUUGCAGGUUCAUUAAAAGGAAAUAUCAAGAAAGACCACAAUUCCUAAGACGUGUGAAGAUAAAAAAAUCGCAAGGUGUUGGAAAAUGAAAGCAUUGUCCUAACAAAAUAGAUAUAUAUUAUUCAAAUAGCUAUCAGUUAUUGCAUAACCAUUGUUUUUAUCGGCUUCGCACCUCACAUGAUAAUUAAUUAAUGUUGGAGUCUGGAGAAGUUCUAACUCUAACUUACAAUACCUCAAAUUUCCUAUUCAUGCUUGUUCAAAUUAAAAAGACAAAAAGAAAAGAAAAAGAAGUCCUAUUCAUGUAGUACAAAGGCUCUAAAGAAGAUAAAUGGAAGAAGUGGAUGAUGUUUUACAUAAAAUAAGCCAUUCUAGCCACUCCUCGCGACCUCAACCAGGGUCGAAGGCGCUGCCAUUUCGAUCUCGCUGGAGAAAAAGAAGGGGAGGGGAGAGGAGACGCGAACAAAUUAACCAGGCUUGUUCCUGGAAGAGCCUAGGGUUUUCACUACACGAUGCGAUAGAAAGGAGUAAUAUAUAGCUAGGGUUUGAGCAAAAAAGGCAUCAAAGAAAGUAGAGAUGCGGUCCAUCAACUUCUAAGUAAGAUUGUGCUCUUUUCAAAAUGAGACACUAGGUUUAUAUUUCUCAGCCUCUUCCUCCUUCUGCAUGCUUUCCUUUCUUCAUGCAACCUGAAAUUUGGUAUGGUGAGAGGUGGAUUUCCCAUUUCUUCACUCUCUUUUCCUUGCCUGGAGUGCAUUAGAUAUGCAUGAUUGUCGGAUAAUAAUCCAGUGGAAAGAGUGGAGCGAACGAAAAGAUGGCGUCCGCAUGGUGAGUGAAAAUAUUCCAAGGGCUCACAUUUUUCCUGUUAAAACUUAGACAAUAGGGCAUUUAGAAUGCAUGCUAACAAAAAAUAAUAUAUAAAAAUAAUAAUAAAAAAAAAGUUAAGAAGAAGAACAAAUUGACAUCUAAAAUUCUUAAAUUGAAACUCUCAAACUAAGAAUUCAUGGCGAGUGAUUUUUUUUUUAUUUUACUAUUUGUAGAUUGUAGUGGACUUUAGUUUAAAGUAAUCAAUCAAGGAUAAGAUCAUCUUAGCAUCUCUGGCUAACUUAACCAGAAUCCAUUGUUCAUAGAGGAGAUACCAGAUUAAUAGAAAAAUCUUUUGUAUAAGGAGGCAAAUAGCAUCGCAGACUAAGUUGCUUUCUUUACGGCUCACUACUCUGAAGGCUUCAUUUGGGCGGACUUCGAGUCAGUGUCAGAGCCUAUUUUGUUUUUUGAUUUUGCUGGCUGCAUCCAUACCAUAUGAGCAAGGUUGUACAAUUUUUUUUAAUAGAUAUGGUUAAAUUUAUAAAUAGAAAUUAAGAAAUAUAUUACAUAAUAUUGAUAAAAUUCAUGAUUAUGAAAAUUUGAUUUCCGUGGGUCUUUUUAAUCUCAUGCAGCGUCCGAGAUGAGAUGGUUCCCGUGCAUCUGUGGGUCCCAUCCCUAAGAUGCGCCCGUUCACGCCUAUCAAAAUAUACCGCCCGCUCGCUCGUGCGACUCACCAGCGCGCCGACCCCACACGGGGAGAAAUCAUUGCCUCCACUGCGUGCACCACGUGGCCGCGCACGCAGCCAAUAGGAGCCGCUAGUUCCCGUAGAUCAUUCAUCAAAUACGUAUCUCGACGCAUCAUUAUAGAAACCAGCGGCCGUGAUUAGCUGGGUGCACGUGCCACAAGUCCCCAACGGUAAAAUUAUUUUUGUGCCACCCCCAACAACUCACCCAUGUGAACGUUGCACGUGGAACCAACCAAGUUACUUGUUUUUUAGUGUUUUCUUGUCCGCACCCGGCUUGACUCGGGUUCAAAAUAAUAGCCGUUUUCUGGUCACGUAUUUGAAACUCGUUCUUUUUGGUCCCCCUUUUUUUUUGGUUGGUCGAAUUUGGUGGACUCCAAUUACAAGACUUCCAUAACCAUUUAUAUGCACAUAAAUGGCAUAAAAAUAAUUUAAAUAAUAGCCAUAUUUGGAUUGGUAUUAUAUUAUUUAUACGAUAAAACUAUAUUUUUGUGAACUUUAAUUCUAGAUGGCACACCACAAGGCAGCUUUUGAUUUUAUUAGUAGUGACGUGGCCACAUGGCGUAUUAUUAGGUUAUAACAAUUAAUAAUAAUGAUGAUCAUAGUAUGAUCCCAUUUCAAAAAAAUACAUCUAAAAGUUUAGGUAUGACAAUAAAAUAUAGUUUUGGAGCUAUUCUACUAUUGAAGGAUAUUGCUAUUAUGCUAACUUGCUUGAGUAGAACCCAUGAUUAAAUAAUUGUCAUCCUAACAGUUUAGGCACCCUCUUUGCAUCAGAAAGACUGAUCUUUGCUUCUUUUUUUUUGUAAGUUGUAAUAUGACUAUUCAAAAUCCAUGUAAAAACUAAGUUAUUUAGUAGAAUAUAACAUAUUACAUUCUGCUAUAUAUAGGAGGUUGCUUACAAUGACAUUAAUUAAUAAAAGCCAUUAUAGUGCAGCAAGAAGCAUUUAAACUAUUUAACUUUCGAGUAAAGUAAACUACUAAUGGAUAGUUACUUCAGUGGAUAUGAAGAAGCAGAAAUGUUGGAGCUAUCAGAUCGGAUGCAAACAUUUUGCUUUGUCUUAUUUUUGUUUGUCUUUUUUUGGUUUGCAUGGAAGCCAGCUGAGAGGGUGGUGUUAGUAGGUGGCUCAAACUAGGCUUUCACAGCACUAUAAGAACACUAUUCACCCUCUAAGGCCAAGACAAAAUCAACUUGUUCCUUGAUGAACUUCAUUUGAUAUAGUGAAGUGACCUUAUGUUAAUAUUGUCUGCCCUUUGGUUCAAACAUUAGAAGGGAAAAAGGCCUUUAUCAGCAAAUUUUGGCAGACACUUCCUUAACUGGAGUCCCUGAAAACAACAAACAGAUGCUGAAAAACAUAUUAGUAGCUGAUUCGAUUCUCCAAUCUAGUUUCUUGGAUUGCAUCCAAUGGGAUGAACACGCAAUUAUGAGUCAAACUGAGCUACUUCAUUCCUAAUUGAUGACAAUUCAAAUCCUUUCUAAUCUGCAGUUUUUCAUAGCAUAUCAGGCAUCCUGCAUCAUCUUGUAAGUAGUCAUAGAAUUGCCAAUAGGGAAACAAAAUUAAAGAACAGAAUGGAAACUCCUCCAUUCAUGUUCUUUUUUCCAGCUUCAUCUCCUUCCGCUGUCGCCACCUUUGCUGCAAAAUUUUGUAGCACCACCUCGAUCUUCAUGGAUGAAUUUCUCACACCAGCGUCCUCUUCCUCCCCAGCCCCUUUGGAUCCAAGGACAAGCUUAGGGAUGGACUGGGAGAUCGGAAAACGCACGGAGGAUUAAGGGUCUUCAGUUAAAGAACAUUUACGUGAUAUUAGCUCUUUAUAGGGAUUUAUAUAUGAACUAUUGCCGGCCAUGGAUUAGUAGAUACGUUACUAAAUAAUAAAUUAUGUGUUUUACCUAUGAUAGCCUAGAGAACUUAAAAAUUAAACAUUUAAUAAUCUUAUUUACUUCAAAGCAGUCUUUGAGAGAAAGUGAUGACCACUCUGAUAAACUACAUUCCUUGCGAGAACUACCACCUAAAUAAUCUCCUCCUUGGAGUGGCCUCUUGUAAUGUGGCCCCUGUCACUUGAAAUGCAUGCCAUUUUUCAGCAACAAGCAAUCAACUACUUUGAAACUCUUGUUCUGAAUCACCCCAGCAGGUGGAAAAAUAACUAGUCAUGUUAAGAAUUUGGAACAACCAAAAUCUAAAAGAUUAGCUGCGCCAGGCCCGAUCUCAGGUUGCAAGAGAUCCAGGUCAGAUUAGGUUCAACUUGACCCGGAGCUGUGAGGACCUAACUAGGCUUGAAAUUUUAAUCCCAAAUGAGCCCACUCUCUAGGCAAGCAAGGGUUGGCUUGGGUCUCUUUAAUGUCGGACCCGUUUGAAUCUAAUAUAUGGGGCCAGAUCCAAAUAUUGUAUUCUAACAUUAGACAAGUCUAAUUGGAUCCAUUGAUCCAUUUUGAUCUGACUGGAUCAGGUCUAAUUUUGCAAGAUUCAUAUCUAACAAUGGAUUUUGAUAUAAGUUGGUGAGUUAGGCAAUCUUCUCCUCCAAUUGUAUGAGACGUCUCUGCAUCUCAUCAUUACCCAUUGAGGAAGAACUAGCAGUUAUACUUACCCUGUCUUUCAAUGUACUUGAAGCACGGAUAGCCCUUCUCCUGAUUGUUUAUAUUGCUCAUGUAUUUGACCACGAAUAGAAGCUCCUUCCGGCUAGUCUUUUUGAGUAAGGUCGUGGAUUGUGACAUCAUGUCAGUAAAUAACAAAUCAAGAAACAUCAUCUUUCGGUGUUCCCAUGGAGCAAAUAUUACCUUUGAGGAGUAAGAUUCUGGCAAAAAAAAAAAAGCUUGAGAUUUAAGUUUAGAAUAUUCAUAUGCUUUGGAGAUAGAGGGAAUGUUGUUCCCCACUCACAUAAUGCAACUUUGCUUAUAGGGAUAAACCUUUUGAUUGGCGAUUUCGAGGAAGCACAAAAUGGAUGCUAAUUCAGCAACAAACUGAAUGAACAAGAUAUGAUUAACUUUUAGGGAAUUCUUCGAGGUGGAAACCAGUCUAUUGCUUGUAGACUAGGGAAUCACCUGAAAAAGCACAUGCCAUGAUCUUUGGUGAUCAAAGUUCACUAAGUUCUGAUGUGUUAUCAGAAUCGGCAUACAGUUUCGUGAGUGUCGAGCUCCAAGCUCCAUGAGAGUGCAACAAUUCCCUUCUCCAAAGGGAUUUAGAUAAAAUAAUCCCCUGUUUAAUAACCAUAAAAACCUCUAAAUCUAUAGACUUUGUCAAUCUGUGCAAACGCUUAUCUAAAUAUUAAUUGCAAGAGAGAGUAAAGCAACAAAAGGAAUCCAUGAAAACAGACAAGAAAUAUGGCACUCAAAUUUCUGUAUCCGUAGCGACCAUAAAAUGUUCACCAUUUAGUACCAAACAACACCUUGGUAAAAGAUAUGAGUGCAUAUAUCUGAGUUUACUAUUUUAUAUGUUUUUCUCUUUGCAAAUUCUUUUAUUUACUGACAUCAUUUUCAACAAACUUCAGAAAUUGUUAUGGAGCAUGGAUUCUAAUUACCAUAUUACAAUUUACAUCCUAGUUCAUUAUCUUAUAUGAUUUUCUCUUCACAAAUUCUUUUAUGUAGGGAAACCUUUCUCCACCAACUUCUGAAAUUGUUAUGGAGUGCACGUAGAAUGAGAAGGAAUUACAGGAGUAUAAAGAAAAAGAAUUAGAAUGCCCAAGUUCCUUUUUCUAGAGGCUUUACCUCAACAACAAUACAAUGGAGAAGCUGCUCACCAACUGAGCUCACAAAAACAAUGAUUAUGAACUACCAAAUUUAGAAGAUUGAUCAUGUCAUUUAGAUUGUCACUGACACAACAUUUUAAACAUGAAUGCAUAGGAAAAAUCUGCAACUACAUAAGAUACUUUCGACAUUUUAAUUGCAUAAGCAUAGGCAACUGCUUCACCACCUCAUCCUGUUGAACCAUGUCUGUUUAGAAAAUAUUUCGAGCUUUUAAUCUGCCAACAUCAUGAAACAAAAUAACAAUCCUAAACAAAUCGUUUUUCUCUUGAUGACAUGAUCAUUUCUAAGGCAAUGAUCAGCUCUCUUUCCAAUAUUUUAUUGGGAAAUGGCUUCUAUCAGUCAAAUGGCAUCAAAAUCCAAAAUACACAUAAUCAAACAGCAUCAAGGUUUUGCCAUACAGGUUCUGACCUUAAAUUGGAAUAUUAGGUCUCUAAUAUAUAUUAACUCCUUAUAUCUGAAUAUUUUAAAUGAUACUAGUCCAUGUCUAAAACCAAGGGAAAAAAAAGAACAUUGAUGUCGGGUGUCCAGACGGUUGUCAACAAUGUCCCAAAUAUCCAAUUCGAUUUAAUUAGGCCUCCUAGUACUAUCAAAAAAAAAUGGUUAUUAGGACCAGGUCCCUCUUUGAUGUGAAUAAUCCUCAUAUGAUAAGAAUAAUUAGGAACAGGCCCCUCCUUGAUCCUUUAUUUUGGUAAAAUAUCUCUUUACCGAACACAAGACUUCUUACAUGAGUAACUAUUAAUAGCAAGGUUUUAAAUCUCCUAGAAUGGAGCUACUCCAUUUUUUCUAGGGAGCAGGAUGCACCGUCGUCCUGCUCUGUCUUGACAUUUGGAAUCAGAGAUGUCCCAAAAUAUGCCAAUUGGGAUGCUAGGAUGAUAGCGGAAUGGCCCCACCCCGACAAAAUGGAAGGUAAGGGAUGUUCCAAGAUAUACCAAUCAGGAUGUUGGGAUGAUGGAGGAAUAGUUCUACCCCAACAUAAUGGAAGGUAUUCCAUCUCAAUGUCUCGCUGAAUGUUCUGCUCAGACUUGAAUCCUUGAUUAAUAGUUUUCAUAUUAAUUAUUUAGCUAUUUUGAGGUCCAUCUUUGAGAUGUGAACUGUUGAUGUCUCCACACGUAGAACAUACUAAGUGGAGAAUUUCUCGUACAUUAUAUAUUUCAAGUAAGGGAGAUUUAGGUCAAGUGAGCCCAUUGAAAUUACUUGUCUCAUCUAUGAUUUCGUUGGUUGGACCUCAUGCACCAAUCGCCCUAGUAUGAAAACUAGGAGAAGAUCCUUUUUUUUUUUCUCUUUAUGAAAACUUGUAUGAAAGCCAAUGAUGUACUUGCAUGAUAGUUUAAAGGUGGUAUAUACCAUAAUUAUAUACAUUUGAAUGUACCAUUUCUAGUAAUUUGAAAUGAAUAUUUCUCUUUGCCUUUUUCAUUAUUUAAAUCACAAUGAUGAAAAUACUUGUACUUUUUUAUACAAAUAAAAUGUAGAACCACCUUUACAUACCAUGCACAGUGUGACGCCUGAUUGUUUACCACCAUUUUCUAUUAAGAAAAGGUUAAAAUCACUUCCAUUACUCUAGUUUUCUUUUUUUUUCCAGUUUAAAUUACAACGAUGAAAGUAACUAAACACCCAUUCUUGUUUGAUGUAGAGGAAAAGCCAAUGUAUGCUACCAAUAUCUAAUUAUCUGCAAAUAUUAUCUCUCAAAAAAAUGUUAAGAUCACUUCCAUCACUUUAGUUUUCUCCUUUUUUUUUUUUCUAAUUGCAAUGGUGAAAUUAUUCAAACCUUUCAAUAGAAAUAAAAGCCAUGACCACCUUUAUAGAAUGCGAUGCAUGUAACAAGGCAUGCACUUUGCUAGAUGUUCAAUCACCUACAAAUAACAUCUUUUAAGAAAAGUGAUGUUAAAAUCGCUUAUCUUUUAGAAAAGUGAUGUUAAAAUCGCUUAUACACUUUCCUUCUUUGUAUCAUUUUCUAAUAUAAGAGGAGAGCGAAACCUAAUGGGGUACAUAUUUUCUAAUUAUUUUAGGAAAAAUCUUGAUACACUUACCUUAUUUAUAUUUUGAACAAUGCCACGCUCAUUUGCAGGCAUUUACUUUUGCAAAUAUAUGCUAUCUAUAUAUAUUUUCUAAAUCCUAAACUCUAUCAAUUAGAAAAAAAAAAGAAGAACUAUAGGUAGAAAGAUAUAAUGAUGCAUAUAUUUAUCUAUAAAAUUGAUGAAUACAUCACAAUAGUAGCACUUUCAUAGGAACACCUCACUUUGAUUUAAUUUUCUUUAUUAUAUUUUAAACUGUGGUAACGAAAAGUAUUUAUCAUGGCGGUAAUGACAACCACUCCAAUAACGUAUGCUUUAGGCGCGCAUGAUGCCGGAUGUCCAAGUUUAGAACAUACAAAACUUCUUAAUCCAUGCAAAUUAAUCUAUGAUAAGAAUGCUUCCAUUUCAUAAGCCUUUUUUUCUAUUUUCUAUGCCAGNNNNNNNNNNNNNNNNNNNNNNNNNNNNNNNNNNNNNNNNNNNNNNNNNNNNNNNNNNNNNNNNNNNNNNNNNNNNNNNNNNNNNNNNNNNNNNNNNNNNNNNNNNNNNNNNNNNNNNNNNNNNNNNNNNNNNNNNNNNNNNNNNNNNNNNNNNNNNNNNNNNNNNNNNNNNNNNNNNNNNNNNNNNNNNNNNNNNNNNNNNNNNNNNNNNNNNUCUCUCUCUCUCUCUCUCUCUCUCUCUCUCUCUCUCUCUCUCUCAGAUCCUUUCCAGUCCGGCGCACGCUAUUCUACCUCCCUGCGCCCCCGCAAGCGCGCGAUAGCGUCCCUCCCGGCCUUUUCUGCCUUCUUAUCCCCGUCGUCUUCCCAAAGGCCUCCUCGUGCCCAUACUCGGGCCGGCAGGCAAGCUCGAAACCCUAAUUCCCUCUCCGGAGGUGUCCCGGAACCCCAUAGGAGGGUCAUCCGAUCGGAGCCUAUCUCGCCCUGGGAAGGAGGAUGAGGAGCCGCCGCGGACGGCCCCUGAAGGAGCUGUAUGAUGCCACGAGGAAGCUCUCAGAACCGGAGGCAUGUAAAGUUACCCCCUUUCUUCCUUCUAAUCAGGGUUUCUUGUUCGCCCUCCUGAAAAUGGAUUCUUUUUAGACCAUUUUAUGUCUUCCUGAACUGAAUUAUUUGUUUCGAUGGAUUUUUUUUGGUGAGGAUUUGGUUUGUUUGCUCAUUUCACGAGAUUAUUGCUGGGUAUGAUCAAUUAUUGAAGGAAAACUAGAUUUUACUGUGGCUUUUGUGGGAGAAAGAUUACUUUUUUUGCCUGUUUUUAUUUCACAAUAAUUCACUGUAGUUUGUUGUUUUUUAGGGUUUCUGAGUCAGACGGCAUGGUUGCAUUGCAUCGUUAUUUGCAUAGUUGAUUCCGCGAGAAAUGAUUGCUGUUGUUAUGCGAAUAGAUCUUGAAGCAUCCUUGGAUUGUGUUCUUUGUGUGGUUUGUUCAUGAUGAUAGUUUGUUGCCCUUUUAAUUGCUGAAUUUGGUAGUGAUAUGAUGACAAUUGUUAUUGAUGCGAGUUUCUAAUCUUCUUUCUAGAUCACUCCAGUAUUGCAAGGGACAUGCCACAUCCAAGGACCUAUUGAUGAGGCUAACUAUGAUCUACAGAGGACAGAUUUGGUAACAGGCAUACUUAACAUAUUUGAACUACUUCCUUUUUCUUCUAAAUGUACUGACUUUAUGUGCCAUUUUCUUUACCAGUGUUAUUGUCUAGAGGUUAGUAUGAACUAUCGCAUUCAAUUCUUUGUGAAACAUUCAAUUGUACUGACAUACUAAGACUACAUGGCCCUUAUUCAUGUUAGACCGCAUGGCCCUUAUUCAUGUUACUUCUUAGUUUAUUCAUAGUAAGAUAACAUGCUAAUGUAUGCGAGCAUGACGGAUACAUGUCAAAAGUCAAAAUGGUACCUUGUAGGCGGCCUACAUGUAACAUGACAUAAAUUAAGGUCAGAUGUACAACAAUAAUCAUCAGUUCUUCAUUUUUAAUGGUUUUUAUUUUGGUGUUAUCAGUUUUUAGGUUAUUUUGUUUCUUAUUUUUAGAUGCUGUUUUGAUGUUAAACCAUAUUUCAGUUCUAAAAUUAUUUUUGCAAUUUAACAUCAUUCUGCUAAAUUGAUCGAAAAGUUGUGAAAGAAUUGGCUUUGCGCUUCUCUAAACAUUAUUUGUUUCUUAUUUGUUAUAUUGCUUUUCCCUGUUAAUGCAUUUCUUUAGUCUAUACAUGGACUGCGUGUGUAGAUUAUUAGAUAUUCACCCAGACUGUAGUGUGAUAAUCCUUGCUUGUUAAUUUAUUAAUUAUAUAUAUGGGUCUAUGCUGUAAAGCAAAGUGCAUUAAUUCUAUUACUUGCUCCUCAAGUUAAAUGGUAUUAUAACCUGAAAUUGUUGAUGUCUGAUCAUAGAAAAUGCUUCAAUGGUUUGCUAUGCUUUUAUAUGUAUUAUAUGCAUCUUUUUGAAAAAUAAAAAAAAUAUCCAGUAGAUAUUCUAUAUGUUUUGAUUAUAUCUUUUUAAGUUUUUUUUUAUAUUCAACACUUUGUUGUUGUGCCAAAUCUUGAUACAUUUAUCCCUUCCUUUGAAAUAUAAUUAAGGUGCUUUGAUUCGUGCUAGAAAGAGACUAGACUCCCAUCAAGCUACCUUGCCUGAGUGUAGGCUGAAUGAUUUUGGGUUUGUCAGGCUUAAGUCCAAAAAGUUUCUUGAAAGUCAAGCCCUAGCUCAAACUUGAGCCCAGCCUAAGGCCUAAAUAGGGUCAAUUACAUUUGGCUAACAGGUUGGUCCAAACUUAUGCUUGAUUUGGAGAAAGGGUACUGUUGAGGGAAGGAGGCCUAAGCCGCCAAGAUAAUUGGAGGUCCAAAGGUUGGUGAUUGAGACCAUGGGGAUUGACGAACGGGACAAGGCUGAUGUUGCCAUAGCAGAUCACUGGAGAGAAGGGGCUGAGAUUGUGGAUUAGUGGAGGGGAGGAGGCUGUAGUCAUUGUGGUGGAUUGGUGGAGGGAAGGAGGUUGAUACUAUCAUGAAUUGGCAGAGGUUAGAGGCUAUGGUGGUUGUGAAUCAUUGCAUGGGAGGAGACCGAGGCAGCAAUCAGUGGCGGGGAGGAGGCUAUGAAGCAACAAAUCAACAAAAGGGAGGAGAGGAGGUGAGAAACUUGCUAGUGGCAAGAGAUGUGAAGAGGUGAAGACAACAGGGAAGCAGAAGGUCAACAAGUCUGACAGAGGAGAAGAGAUGAAGGGGAGAAGAGGGGAGGAAGUCUCUAGAACGAGAUGAGAAAGGGGAUGUGGGGUUUCAUCAUUGAAUUUUGUAAAAACUUGAACCUGACCAUCUAUCAAUUUCUAAUUGAUGACUAGGGUAUCUUAUAUAGAUAUAACACAUUGUAUAAUAUAUAUGUAAACAAUAAGUAUAUAGUAUAAUAUUAUUUGUUUCACAAUUUCAGGCUAGGCUUGAGCCGAGCCAAGGUUUCCCUAAACUGGGUCCUAAAUUUGUUUGGGCCUUUAACUUUCAAUCUUGGUCCAUUCCAAAAUUUAAAAUUCUCAGCCCAAGCUUGGCCCAGGCCCAUUACCAGCCCUGGCAUUCAUACUCUUUUGACAUCACAGUGUUGCAAAUUUGUAGAAAAGAUGAUUCUUUUUGGGCAGAAGAUGGUCACCCACCAGAUUCAUUAAGAUGAAAAAAUUGCUUUUGCAUGAAGGACUAUGAUUAUUUGCACCUUAUUAUGAAUCUUUAGAUUCUAUAUAUCCAUUUAGGGACCACUUCGUGUAUAGGUAAGGGGUCUUCGAUCCAUGAUUUUUUGUUUAUAGGCACUUUAGACCUUCUAGGUCAUGCCUGCAUUUUCAUUUCGCAACCCCAUCCUUGAAUUUGGUAGUUGAUUGCAACAUCCUCUUUUCCAUCUUGUGGUACCAUAACUCUACUUAAUACAUUGAUGCACCUAUACAUAUAGAUACUUAUCUGCACACAGACAUAUGCAGACUUGCACAAUUUUAACUUGUAAAAGGGCAUGUGCAGAUGCAUUGAAGUGGUCUAAAUUUUAUCUACAUUACAAAAAUGAGAUUGAUAAUGAUUUAAAUCAAGGAUUUUGUAGUGUUAGGUUUCUCUCUCAAAGCACUAAAACUAAGUAGAUAUGAUGAUAAUUGGUAAGAAUAAUCCUAUAAUGAUAAGCUAGGAUUUUUUAAUGGAGUUCUAGAAGCUUUAAGAAGAGCUACUCUAAAAUUCUAGACUUGGGAUAGGGAGAGCAUGCUAAAAGGUGGGUGGAGUUUGCACAUGUAAGCUAGGUGAAGAUUCAAAGGGUAGUUAAUUAUAAUCAUACUUUUUCAAAUUCUUUUAAUUUUCAUUCUAUGUAAGUAUUAGUUGAGCCUCUCUAGAAAUUAGAUGUUUUGAAAAGUGAAACAACACAAAAUGAAGUGGUUGGACUCAGCUACAGACUCCAGAGGGCAAGUUUAUUUCCCUUUUUUUUUUUUGCAACAGUUGCCGAAAGUGAAAAACCAGUACAUAAAAUCAGUCCUGGCUAGCCAACCCAAUGGGUUGAAUGGUCAUCUAGCUUGAUCUUUGGUUUGGAUAAAUGCAAAAUAAGGAAACUUGUGUAUUUAUAAGAGCUACUUGGAUUGGUCAUUUAAUUGGCAACCUUCUUGGUCUGUUUUGGUUUUAGAUCCGCCAGUUAUACCUUAUUUAUUAUUUAUUAUAAAAAAAUAUUUUUGGUGUUGAAUUAGGGGUUAGGUUUUGUCCACCUAAGGCAUCAUGGGCAAAAAGCAGCUACAACUUCCUCUCUCGUCAACUCUCAACCUUGCUCAAGUCCUUAAGUUUAACCUAUAAUAUUGUGACUUCUUCAACAGGCAAAACUGGGUAUGGAAAUUGGUGCUAUAUUCCUUUGUCUUCUAAUCUUUACUCUCACCCCUCCAAGAUCUAGACCUUGGCUUUGGCCCAAGCCUCAAGUCUCAAGCUCAAGACCUUAGAACCUCUCCUUGGCAUGGAAGGUGGCUAUGGAUCCCAAAGUCUCGUCUCAACCCUCAAGCUGCAUAACUUAAGGCCUCAAAACUCAAACCCUCAAGGCUCAAACUUUGACUUAACGGUUUCUUCAUGGAAGGCGACUUGGGUGAGGAAAGUGGCCAUCACUCCUCCCAUCUCAAGCCUCUACUGUAGUCACUUUAGACCUCAACCUCAAGCUUUUGAUGCUCCUAUGCUUGUACAUAUGUUGAUUGAUACAUUGAAAGUUGUCUAAAUUCAUGAUGAUAUCAAACUAUGUUUUUGUUUUGAGAAUUUUGAUUGGUUAUAUCUUAGUAAUAUACUAUCAAUGAAGAAACUAUAUAGGAGGAUAUCAUUAUAUUAUGCAUUAUUCUGAUGUUAUGUGAUUGUACAGCAUGCUAAAAACUGUUAGACAGGUGCUUAAAAAAAGAAAGUUUGAGAGGUUUUAUCAUAUAUAUAUAUAUAUAUAUAUGCUAUUCUAUUGAUUUUUCUAUUCAUUAUUGGUGGUUGAUAUAUUUAUUGUAAUGAUAACAUCAUUUUCCUUUUGUUUGAUGCAGUGUUUGAAUUGGUGGUCAAUGACUCAGUCUCAUUUCUGGUUGGAUGAGUAAUGUGGUUUUUAAACAUUGCAAAAAUCAACUUUAUGAUGGACAUUCAAAGUGUUGCAUAAUUUUACUGUAGUAGGAAUUUAACAAUUUUAGAUAGCUGAAAUUGUACUAACCCUGGUCCAGUUGGUCAAGGUAAACCAUGAUAGUGUAGUGCAGGCAAGUUGGGUCAGAUCCUAUCCAAUUGAGCUAUUGCCAGUUGACUUGUGUGAUCGAGUUAAUCAAGUCUUGAUUAGUAUCUCGGAUUGGCCCUGCUUGAUAAUGCAGAUAGGGUUGGAUUUUAUCGAGUCCAAUCUAUCAGAUCUCAUGUGAUAAGAUCAGCUCACAGGUCCUACCUUAGUUCCUAUGUUUCUCAUUUAAUUGUAGAAUGCGAGCUGUUCUCUUUGAUCUGAUUCCUUAACUCUGAGGACCAUCAAAUUGUCUAUUCUCUUGUAAUUUUCACUGCCACUAUAUACUUCUGCAAUAUUUAAUAUGUUGCAUGUUUUAUAUCUAUGCAGAAGUAGUAAAUGCCUGCUUCAACUGUAUAAGGAACAUUUUUUGUUUCCCUUCAACCUGCCAAUUAUAUUUCAUUCUUUACUGAUGAUGUUUGUCUGCUUAUUAAUAAGAUGUUAGAUAUUUUAGUCAAAUUGUCUAUUCUCUUGUAAUUUUGGCAGGCACUAUAUACUUCUGCAAUAUUUAAUAUGGUGCAUGUUUNNNNNNNNNNNNNNNNNNNNUGGCAGCCACUAUAUACUUCUGCAAUAUUUAAUAUGGUGCAUGUUUCAUCUCUAUGCAGAAGUAUUAAAUGCCUGCUUCAACUGUAUAGGGAGCAUUUUUUGUUUCCCUUCAACCUGUCAAUUUUAUUUCAUUCUUUACCGAUGAUGUUUGUCUGCUUAUUAAUAAGAUGUUAGAUAUUUUAGUGUGUUUAUGUCGUGGUUUUACUGUUUUUGAAUUAUGUCAUACUUCUACUGUUUUUUUGAAUGAUGUUGUGCUUUUAUUGUAAAACACCAGGAAGGGAGAUUAUCCACAUCAAACAUACUUAAGUGCAUAAACACAUAAUGUAAUUGCAUGUUCCUAUAAACCUCCAGUGCAGUCUUUCUGUAUCAGUUUUGAAGCUCUGAGGUCAUUAUAUUUGAUAUAUGAUGUUUUAACAAGUUGCAUAUUGAAUUUUCUUUCACUUGUCUACAAUAGGGUGAUUUUCCAGUUGAAGGAAGACACUUACUUGUGAAUGAAAAACUUUGCACCAGAGCAGAACCUGGUACGUGCAACGUAUGUUCUGCUCCUUGCAUAUCUUGUUUGCACUUAAAGCGAACUGUGCUGAUCAUGGAAUCAAAAAUCAAGGAUGGGCUUUCACAUGACACUUCUGGGAGAAAAGAUGAUAGUUCUGUUAUUGGUGACAAAGUGCCUAAUUAUAGCAGCAGAGAAUGUGAUGAUCAGCAGCAUGAAUCUAGUGAAACUAGUAAUUUUCUAAGCUCUACUUCAAGUCAUAAUUCAUGUUUUGAAAAUUUUGAAAGUAAAGCAAGAUUCAGAGACUUAAUUAGAGAUGAUGCAUCAGAAGAUGUUAAAACACCCUAUAAGGAGUCUUCAGAUGAAGCAGUUAAGCUUCUUUUGGAGCAAACCAAUGUUUCUUCUCAUAGUGCCCUUCCCUCUCACAGCCAGACAAGAUCUGGUCUGCACCAUAAAACACACUCAGAUCUAGUUGACGAGCAGCAUGUAUUAGAAUGCCAUGGGGAUAGCAUUUCAUGUAUUUCUGGUAUUACGAAUGCCAGCACUGCAGUCCAUGCUCCUCAUAUGGACUCAGACGAUAAAAAUGCAACAUCCAGCAUUCCAUCAACUGGUAAUUUACUCGCCAGAAAAUCUGAAAAGCCGGUCCAGAAUGAAGCUCACCCUGACUGUCGAAUUGAUGAAAUAAAAGAGAGUCAGAAUGAAUUUCAAAUGCCUAGCACGUUGCUCGAAGAAUCUUUACAGAAGAAUAAUGGUUCUAGUUCUGCAAUAGCUGGCUCUUCCCCCAUGUAUGAACAUUCAGAGUUCCAUCCAUCAAAAAGCGAUAAUUCUUCCCAUUGUAAUUAUGUUUCCAAGGAAAGAAAUGCAUGUGAUCAAUUUCCAGCAGUUGAAAUUCCGAAAUGCUUAGGCAAUGAGGAAUCUUCACUAGCACAAGAAUUAGUUGCUGGCAGUAUUGAUGGGAAAGAAAAUACUGCACGUGCAAACAGUGAAAUUAAUAAAGAAAGCAGCACAACAAGUGAAUCUGCUUCAGUUUCUCUGAAGGAUACUGAUGCAUGCAUGGGAACUGAAAUUGGAACUGGCAGUAGGAUCCCAUCUGAUGAUGCUAAGAAGGCCAGCUUCAUGAAAGAGCCACCUGGAAAGUCCAAUUUGUUGUUAGAGACAGCUAAUACUCAGGUAUCCGAGAUCGAACCUCGGACAACCUCGGACAAUGAAAUUGAGGAUGAUGUGAGUGCAUUUCCUAUCUCCAAAUUAUCUCAUAUAGAAUAUCUUAUUUAAUGCACUCUGAGUCUCUACUUUCUCGCAUGAUUUUAACAGAUCAAUGAGGUUGCAUUUAAGCCAUAAUAGAAAUGCUAAAUAAUUCAUCAAUGGCAGAACUAUAAGAAGGUUUUAAUAUCAUGAAAUUUUGUAACAUCCUGGGUCUCUCAGAGGGCUCUUUUGUGUACUCACUGUCCUGCAAUCCUUCGUUUGUUUCUCUUUUCUUUUCUUCUUACUUCUACUGUUGUCUGAAGAUAUUGUAGGAUGCUUAUUCAUUUCUAAAUCAUGCUUAAUCAUAUUGUGUUUGCAGUAUUUCUAUGUUCAUCUGUAUGCUUUUAUUCACAAUCUUCUUUUGUUUUUUUAUUCCUGAAGCAAAGUAGGCAGGGGAUUCUUAAGAUAAGAUAGUUGUUAUGAUGGUAAUCUAGAAGUGUUCAAGUCCUUUAAAUCAAGGUCUCGUCUUUGGAGGAAAAUAUCUUAGCUAGCAUAAACUAGAAGUUCAUCCCAUAUUUCCUUGUAUGAUACUGAAAAGGAUGUCAAAUCUAGCAUAACCUGAAACAUUAGAAAGAUAAAGGAUCGAUAGCAUAUCUUUGUGGCUCUUUCAAAAUUACAUUAGUUGCAAUUGCCAAUUAGUUCUCAUGUGUAGGUAUUUAUUAAAUUGCAUCAGAGAAAUAUGAAUUUUCUUAUUUACAAAUUAUGUCAUCUCUAAGUCUGAAUCAUCACAUCUUAUGUUUUCCUCCUAAAAGCCCAUGCCUGCAGCUUGAGUGAAAUGUGGGUCUCCAGCACCCCAUUUUUUCAAAGAAUAACCAUGAUUAUAAUUACUAAGCCUUCUUGUAACUCUGUGGUCAACUUUACAAGUCCUCAUUUGCCAAAUUUUUGGGCUCUGUGGCUGUUUGCUGUCCUUGAUUGACUUAUCUAGUCCAUGCAUCCCCACUCAAAC